UGAUAUCAUGAUUUGUUCUGGUCGCAGAGAAUUAGUGACUUGGGUUAAUUUUUAGGGCAUAGUAGAAUGUGGUGUACAUAAUAUUAAUUUAGAUGUAUUGAUUUGGAUAAAUAGUUUGUCCGGUCACCAUUAUUCCAAUUGUGUAUUUCGACUGCAUGUGAUGUUUUACAGGUGAGCAAUUUUGUUAAAUUUCUAGGUUGACUGAUUAUUUCAAUUGAACAUUUUUGAGAUGGAUGAAGAAAGAAACAGUGAGGUCAGAGACGUAAAUAUUUCGGCACCAGAAAUUGGAAUGUCUUUUAUCAAUUUUGAAGCCGUUUUUAAUUUCUAUAAGCAUUACGCACAAGAAUUAGGAUUUUGAGUUGUAAAGAGGACAACUAAAAUGACUGAUGGCAAGGCUACGUAUGUAAUAAUCGCAUGCUCUCAUCAUGGAAAAAUGCAUCGGACCAUGACGAAUCUUCGUCCUCGUCCAUCGGUGGUGAAGACGAACUGUCUUAUGAGGAUAAAUAUGGUAAUAAAUGCGGAUUCAUCUUGUGUAAUAAGUAAAAUUGUACUUAAGCAUAAUAACAUCCUAAGUCCUUAUAAGUCUCGACUUUUUCCCUGCAAUCGAGUUAUAGAUCUGAGCAUCAAGAGGCGGCUUGAUCUUAAUGAUCGUGCUGGAAUCAGAUUGAACAAAAAUUUUAAUUCUAUUGCUGUUGAAGCUGGUGGGUAUGAAAACUUAACAUUUGGAGAGAAGGAUGCUCGUAAUUAUAUUGAAAAAGUCCGUCGGUUACGACUUGAUGAAGGUGACGGCGAGGCAAUUUAUAAUUAUUUUAGAGAAAUGCAAGAGAGAAAUGAAAACUUUUUUUAUGCCAUAGAUCUAGACGAUGAUUCUCGGCUUCGCAAUGUCUUUUAGGCAGAUGCUCGGAAUAGAGCGGUGUAUGAAUGUUUCGGAGAUGUAAUUACUUUGGACUCGACAUAUCUAACAAAUAAGUACGAUAUGCCAUUUGCUCCUUUCGUUGGUGUUAAUCAUCAUAGACAGUCGAUCUUGUUGGGAUGCGGCCUACUCUCCACUGAAGAUACAGAAUCGUUUGUAUGGCUCUUUUGGAAUUGGUUAUCAUGCAUGUCCGAGCAUGCCCCCAAAGCAAUAAUCACAAAUCAAGAUAAAACGAUGCAAAAUGCUAUCGCACGUGUCUUUCCUGAUACUCGGCAUCGAUGGUGCUUAUGGCACAUUACAAAGAAGAUACCGGAGAAGCUAAGAAGCUAUGGCGAAUAUCAUUCGAUUAAGAGCUUUAUGAUGGAUGCUAUUUAUGAAUCACUGACAGAAAUUGAAUUUGAGGAAAAAUGGAAGAGAAUGAUAGCUUGUUACGGACUUCAAAAUAAUGAAUGGUUGUCAGGCCUAUACGAGGAAAGACGUAAGUGGAUACCAGUUUAUGUGAAGGAUACAUUUUGGGCUGGAAUGUCCACAACACAGCGAAGCAAAAAUAUGAAUGCAUUUUUUGAUGGGUAUGUGAACUCGAAAACUUCACUAAAACAAUUUGUUGAGCUGUAUGAAAGCGCUAUAAAGAAUAAAGCUGAAAAAGAAGUAGAAUUAGACUACAAAUCAUUCAGGUCAGUCAUACCGUGUAUCAGCCGUUAUGCAUUUGAGAAGCAAUUUCAAGAUGUGUACACGAUUGCGAAAUUUAGAGAAUUUCAGGCAGAGCUUAAGGAAUUAAUGCAUUGCGAGACAUCUUUACUGCCUUCGAAGGGCAGUGCGUAUUCUUAUCAAGUUAAUGAGUAUGGCGUCGGAGGUAAAGAUACAGCCUUCACAGUAUAUUUUGAUGAGGGUGGCUUUCUAGUAAGUUGUAUUUGCCGUCUAUUUGAGUAUAAAGGUAUUUUAUGUCGACAUUCAAUUGCCGUCCUAGUUUAUAGGAAGUUGGUGAUUGUCCUAAAUUCUUACAUAUUAACACGAUGGAGGAAGGAUGUCAGACGAAGGUAUACCCGCGUGAAGACAUGGCAUAAGAACUUAGGGAGCAUCGCUGAAAUUUAUCGAUACGAAGUAGUAUGUAGUAAUAUGUAUGACAUUGCAGACAUAGCUGCUGAGUCCGAUGAGAAAUGUGAAGUUGCAUUACGUACGUUGCGAGAUUUGAAGACCAAAUUGGAAUGCACUUCAUCAUCCAAGGGGAGCAAUGAUAUUGAAUAUUCGCCGAUUGCGGCAACACCUUCGAAUGGUGCGACGGAUGAUAGAAGUAACGACCGGAGAGUUCUAAGCCCGCUACCAGUUCGCAGUAAAGGCCGCCCGCCAAGCAAAAGAAAAGAGUCGAUGACUGAUAAAGUUGUACGACGGUUGAAGAUGAAAGGCAAUAAGCAACAGGUAUAUCUUGAUCUACCUCAAUUAAUUUUUUGUUGGAUUCUAAUAUACAAUAGACGACAAUGAUUGAUAAUUAUUCAUGAUAUAUUUUAACAGGUUGGGUAACAUUGUGGAGAUAGGAUAUAUAAUGGUGAAUGUUCCAUCUAUAAUCGUCUCUCAUCAUCUCACUCGACCUCCUCCCAACAGAGUGUAAAUAUUUUAUGCAUUACUAUAUCUAGAUUUUUUUUCUAAUAUUCGAUAUAGUUUGUUUUGACUAUUUGUUUUUAAAAUUCUGGAUCUCUUAUUCUAUAAAACCAAUUGGUUUAUUAAAACAGGUUCAUCUACAAAGUCCUAAGAUUAAUAAUUUGUCGCCAAGUGACUUACCUUAUGGGAUCGGUGUACACAUCGGCCCAGUCAUUAUCGUAACAGUAAUAGAAAUUAUAUUUCUUAUGGACGGUUCUUUAAUACAACUUUAUCUAUAUAUAAAUAAUAUGGUUUAAAUUUUCUUUCUUUUAAUAUCAGACAACGUGGGACCCCAAAAAUAUAUCUGUAUCAUCAGAUCCUAUCAUGUAUCCUUAUAGAGUGGAUAUUAGUCCUCAAUCUUCAAAUCAGAAUCCGGCCGCUCGGACGCACAUGCCACACCCGACUCAUUUGCAACAGGUAUUGACAAAGUCUUGAGACAAUCUAUAUAUGCGUAUUGUAUUCUUGGCUUUAAAUUGAUCCUAUUAACCUUUUAAACAGUUGCAGGAAAAGGAAAUCCCGCAGGAACAUCAAUUUCAGCACGGUGGAAGAGCACCGCCCACAUGAAAUCAGCAUCCAUUGUAUUCACUGUACUGUUACAGAUUCAGAAUUGAUAUGUGUUGUACCUGCUUGUUUGGGAGUGUCGAAUUAUAAACAGUGAUUUAACAAUAUUUCGUAUUUUUCUUGUUGCUAUUGUAGCACUGCAUGUAAAUUGACAACAAUGUAAUGACGUGCUUAUAUUCCUCAUAUCUAGCAAUAUUGAAUGUUCUUGCUUUCUGUUUAGUAUAUGAGUAAUGUGUGUAUAUAUUGGUGAAUUUGUGUUGCAUUAUUAUACUCAAUGUAUAUUUAUAUAUAUUUAAAAUGCUAUGCAUUACACACUGCUUAUACAUAUUUCGUCUUAUGAUGUAAAGGUGUUGCUCUCCAUUCUUGAGGUGUCAAAGUAUAGUACGUGUUAACCUCCAUGAUCAGACGUACUAGUAGCUUAUACCAAUAUGAGUGGCUCUGUUUUAAUGAAAUUUGAUUGUUCUAUCUAACUGUACACCUGUGCAAGAAACCAUAUAUAGGUAUUCCUUUAGUAUACAUAGCAGCUACUUAUUCCGCUGCCAAAUACCUUUCAAUUUAUUGCGACUAUAUAAAUGAAUUGGUGACAUAUUUUCUUUUGCAAAUCUGUACCUUCUUCAACUUGAUGUAAUGCGCAGGCUUUGACAGAGAGGUACGAUUCCCUAGUCCAAUGUUAAGGCCGCCCGCUAAACAAAAGAAAAGUUAAUUAUAAUCAAGUAUAAGUAUUCUAUUUGAAUAUUAGAAAUGAUUUACCAUUGUACGUCUUGUUGUGUGACAAAUAAUCCCACAUCGGAUGGGAAUAGGGUUGUCAUUGGGUUUAUAAGAAGACUUACACGCUAACAAUAAUAACCAGGCUUAAGCAUUUUGGGCCGGUGGUUUGGCCCAACGAGUUAUUGUUGCUAGCGGGUCGGGUCGUUGCAAUUGGUAUCAGAGACGAAUACCAGCCGAAAGUAUGAGAGCUAAGUGCUAUGCGGGACAAAGUGCUACACCAACGGGUUUGGUGGGAGCCACCUCUUGAACCCGUAGGAGCCACCUCUAGAAUCUCACAUCGCUUAGUAAUUUCGAUCCUGGUCUGUCUGUCUGUGAUCUGGUUUGGACCUGACGAGGACGUCAGGGUCUAAACAUGGGGAGUUUGUAACGCCCCUAAAAGUCCCACAUCGGAUGGGAUACUGAUUUCGAUCAGUUUAUAUGAGGCCUACGUGCUAGUAAUAAUAACUGGGUUUGAGCAUUUUGGGCUAUGGUUGGGCCCAACGAGUUAUUAUUGCUAGUGGGUUGGGUCAUAACAUUUGGUAUCAGAGCCGGUUCACCAGCUAGACAUGUGUGGCGAGUCUCGGCUGAGCCAGAGUCUGGAUGACGGGCUAGCGAGAUAAGUCUCACAUCGCCUGGUGAUCUUGGGCUGUAUGUGUGAUUGGACUGACGAGGACGUCAGGGCCUUAACGGGGGGAGUCUGUGACACCCCAAUAAUCCCACAUUGGAUGAGAAUGGGGUUGUCAUUGGGUUUAUAAGAAGACUUAGACACUAGUAAUAAUAACCGGGCUUAAGCAUUUUGGGCUGUGGUUGGGCCCAACGAGUUAUUAUUGCUAGUGGGCUGGGUCGUAACAGUAAUGGUGUAGAGCACACCCAUAUAUCUAGGGAAAAGUGAUAUGACCACUUUUAUAGUGAAGACAUGAUUUUUCAGAUCAUAGCCAGAAACGGAACACUAAUAUGGCUAUUCGGUACACUUUAAGCCUUGGUUGGAACACUAAUAUAUUUGACAGUGCUAAUCAAGUCUUAUAAAAAAAUGCUCUAGCUAUGGCUUUACCGAGGUCCAUCUAUAGUGCUAAUGGCACACUCAUAUAUCUAGUAGUGAUAUGUGCACUUUUAUAUGGGAGAUGUGAGGAAGUGAAUUCUCAAAAUACGAGGAUUAGACUUCAUCCCAAAUCGACCAAGGGUCGUGUUGGUGUACUUUGGAAAAGCCAANUAUAUGGGAGAUGUGAGGAAGUGAAUUCUCAAAAUACGAGGAUUAGACUUCAUCCCAAAUCGACCAAGGGUCGUGUUGGUGUACUUUGGAAAAGCCAAUGGUAUUAAAAUCACCAAAAGUGCAUUGGAAACAAAUCCAUGAGAGCAAAUAGUGCAAAACAUGCACCGGAGCAAAACUGCUCUCGGGGACCGAUCCUUGGCAGGGAUGGACUGGUCCCAUCAGCUGGUGUUGCGGGGUUGCUUGGGGCAACCGUCCCUGGUAGAGAGGGACCGGUUCCUGAACGCGAACCCAGCGAGAAAGCCAGAAAUUGGCUAAGUCCUGAAAAUAUUGCUUUCGGGGACCGAUCUCUCAGGCAAGGACCGGUCUCCCGGGGACCGGUCUCUCAGGGAAGGACCGGUACCCGAACGCGUGUGUAAGGAAGUGAAUUCUCGAAACUCGAGGAUUAGACUUCGACCAGAAUCGACUAUUCGUCGAGUGAGUAGGCUUCGGAAAGCCCGAAGGCGAUUAUAAUGCAUAAAGUGCAUUAAAGAAGGGUCCGCGGGAGCACCAGUGCAAAAUCUGCACUGGAGCAUAAAUGCUCUCGGGGACCGGUCCCUGGCAGGGAGGGACCGGUUCCAUCAGGCUGGGUUGCGGAGGUCUCUGAUGAGACCGGUCCCUGGUGGGCAGGGACCGGUUCCCGAACGUUGGCCCGACGAGAUUUAGCCAAAUUUGGCUAAGUCCCGAGAAUGCAGCUCUCGGGAACCGGUCUCUCGGACAAGGACCGGUCUCCCGGGGACCGGUCUCUCAGGCAAGGACCGGUUCCCGAACGCGAAAAUCCCUCUGCUCGAAAUGGCAGCCUUCGGGGACCGGUCCCAAGUCGGGGAGACCGGUCCCUCACUGCGAAAAUGCCCAAUGAGGGCUGAUUCUAAAGAUGAAAAGUUGAGGGGGCUAGUUGCAAAAUGGCCUUUAAUAGGGCUUGGGGAUCUCUCUCUCACCCUCAGUUGCUCUCUCUCUCUCUCUNNNNNNNNNNNNNNNNNNNNNNNNNNNNNNNNNNNNNNNNNNNNNNNNNNNNNNNNNNNNNNNNNNNNNNNNNNNNNNNNNNNNNNNNNNNNNNNNNNNNNNNNNNNNNNNNNNNNNNNNNNNNNNNNNNNNNNNNNNNNNNNNNNNNNNNNNNNNNNNNNNNNNNNNNNNNNNNNNNNNNNNNNNNNNNNNNNNNNNNNNNNNNNNNNNNNNNNNNNNNNNNNNNNNNNNNNNNNNNNNNNNNNNNNNNNNNNNNNNNNNNNNNNNNNNNNNNNNNNNNNNNNNNNNNNNNNNNNNNNNNNNNNNNNNNNNNNNNNNNNNNNNNNNNNNNNNNNNNNNNNNNNNNNNNNNNNNNNNNNNNNNNNNNNNNNNNNNNNNNNNNNNNNNNNNNNNNNNNNNNNNNNNNNNNNNNNNNNNNNNNNNNNNNNNNNNNNNNNNNNNNNNNNNNNNNNNNNNNNNNNNNNNNNNNNNNNNNNNNNNNNNNNNNNNNNNNNNNNNNNNNNNNNNNNNNNNNNNNNNNNNNNNNNNNNNNNNNNNNNNNNNNNNNNNNNNNNNNNNNNNNNNNNNNNNNNNNNNNNNNNNNNNNNNNNNNNNNNNNNNNNNNNNNNNNNNNNNNNNNNNNNNNNNNNNNNNNNNNNNNNNNNNNNNNNNNNNNNNNNNNNNNNNNNNNNNNNNNNNNNNNNNNNNNNNNNNNNNNNNNNNNNNNGAGAGAGCAAGAGGCAGGAGAGAGAGAGAAAGAGAGGAGUGUGAGGGAGAGAGAGGGCUCAGCCCACUCAAAUAAAAGCCAUUUUGCAUAAAAAGCCCCUCACUUUCACUCCAAGUGCACUGCCCUCAGUGGGUAGCUUUCGCGCGGAGGGACCGGUCUCCCGACUUGGGACCGGUCGCCGAGAGCUUCCCCUCGGGUGCACGCUUCGGGGUACGUUCUCUCCCCAGGAGACUGGUGGUCCUCGGGAGACCGGUCCUCACCUGGGAGACCGGUCCCCGAGAGCUCGAUCUUCAGGACUUAGCCAAUUUUUGGCAUCUCUCGCUGGGACCACGUUCGGGAACCGGUCCCUCCCUGCCAGGGACCAGUUUCAUCACGCAACCCCACUACGCCCAGCCAGGGGAACCGGUCUCUCACCUGCAGAGACCGGUCCCCGAGAGCAACAUCAGCCCAAUGAUGCAGUUUGCCUCAUUUGCUCUCGCGGACUCAACUCCAAGGCACCUUUUGUGCUUUGGACAUUCUCAACUCCCACAAAGGGUAUACUUUCGACAAUUAGUCGAUCCUGGAUGAAGUACAAUCCUCGUAUUUCGAGAAUUCACUUCCUUACACGAAUCAAGAGAAACCGAGCUUCCAACCUUCCCCCGUUGAUGUGGGAGGAAUUUCGGGGAUUGUACUAUGUUAACUACUUCCCCGAUAGCGAGAAGAAGAAGCUCCAGGAGUAGUUUCGAAAGUUGAAGCAAGGGAACUGCACGGUAGCAGAAUAUGAGCGGGAGUUCUAUCACAUCAUUGACUGCGUCCCCGACGUAGUGCGGGAUGACAGGGAUCGAGCCGAUUGGUUCGAGCGAGGGUUCCAGGCUGAUAUCUACCGGGCGGUGCACAUUCUGAAGCUCACUACCUUCGCGGAGGUGCUCGACAGAGCGUUGUGGGCGGAGCAAGGAAACGCUCACAUCCGGGAGGAGCGAGAAGCGUCCGAGAAGGACGGUGGCAAGAAGCGGGCUCAGAGUAGCUCGGGAGUUCAAAGCAAGUCAAGGAAGCCCCCGAAGUACCCGCUAACGCAAUCCAAGGGCCGCGUACCGCAGCGAUGCACGAUCUGCGGUGGGAAGCACGAGCCGAGGACGUGUGAUCAACGGAAAGGGAAGUGCUUCACGUGUGGACAGGCGGGCCAUAUCAGCCGCUACUGUCCAGUGAGGGCUUCGCCCGCCCCUUCGAUCGCGUCGGCUCCGGCGACUCCGGCGCAUUAUGGAGGAGUCCUACCUGCUGCAUCAUCGACUGGACGUGCGAUGGUACCUCGCCAAUCUGAGGCGACGAGAUCGGCUCCGAGCGGGCGGGUGUUUGCCGCUCAGAUCCAAGCCGAGGAACCUGCUGAGGCGGAGGAUCGCCAUGUACUCGCAGGUAUGGUUUUAAUUAACGGAGUUCGCUCCAGGGCUAUGUUUGAUACAGGUGCUACGCAUUCAUUCAUCAGUAGGUCAUUUGCACGCAUGCAUGACAUAGAACUACAAGAGAGUAAAAGCACUUGGAGGGUAUCGGGCCCCGGACGUGAUUUUCUAGUCCGGAUGGAGUGUUCGUCUUGUCCAGUGCGGUUGGGCGAUUAGAUAAUGCCCAUCCGUAUGUUGAUGUUCAAGAAGUUGAAGGACUUCGACGUCAUUCUAGGAAUGGAUUGGCUCUCGAAGUACUAUGCGACUAUUCACUGCAGAAGCAAAGUAAUAAUGUUUCGAGAGCCGGGCCAGGAGGAGUUCACCUACCGGGCUUGUAGAAGCUCGCGCUUCACUGCUAUGGUGUCAACGACGAGGGCGAAGAGGUUGAUUAACAGCGGUUGUACGGCCUAUUUGGCGACCGUCGUGGAAGUCGAGAGGAUGACUCCUACGCUCGAGGAACUAUUCGUAGUUCGGGAAUUUCCAGAUGUAUUUCCCGCGGAGUUGCCGGGAAUGCCGUCAGACCAGAAGAUCGAGUUAGUGAUAGACUUGGUUCCAGGAACCGCGCCUAUCUCGAAGGCUCCCUAUCGGAUGGCGCCGGCAGAAUUGAAGGAGUUACGGGCUCAGUUGAUAGAUCUCCUUUAUAAAGGAUUUAUACGGCCAAGCGUAUCGCCGUGGGGAGCCCCGGUUCUAUUCGUGCGAAAGAAGGAUGGAUCGUUUCGACUCUGCGUAGACUAUCGCAAGUUGAACAAAGUCACGAUCAAGAAUAAGUACCCGUUGCCCAGGAUCGAUGAUUUAUUUGAUCAGUUGCAAGGAUCUCGGGUUUAUUCAAAGAUUGACCUACAGUCCGGUUAUCAUCAACUCAAGAUCAAACCGGAAGAUGUUCAAAGGACCGCAUUUCGCACGCGGUAUGGACACUAUGAAUUCACGGUCAUGCUGUUUGGGCUUACUAACGUCCCGACAGUGUUCAUGGAUUUAAUGAACCGUGUCUUCAAGGAGUACUUGGACCGAUUUGUUGUGGUCUUCAUAGACGACAUCUUGGUCUACUCGCGCAACGACGAGGAACAUGCCGAGCAUUUGAGAAUCGUGCUUCAAAUCCUUCGGGAGGAGAAGUUGUAUGCUAAGUUUAAGAAAUGCGACUUUUGGCUCCGAGAGGUUGCAUUUCUUGGGCAUGUCAUUUCCGAGGGAGGAGUAUCUGUUGACCCGAGGAAAGUGGAGGCAAUCAAGGAUUGGCCUCGCCCGACUAACGUCACGGAAGUUCGAAGCUUCGUGGGUUUAGCGGGUUAUUAUAGACGGUUCGUGGAGGGAUUUUCGAAGAUCGUGGGUCCACUUACCCGUCUCACUCGAAAAGGCACCAAGUUUAUUUGGAGCUACGAGUGCGACCGGAGUUUCUAAGAAUUGAAGGAUAGAUUAACUUCGACUCUGGUGCUCGCCUUACCGAUGCAAGAUGAAGACUUCGUGGUGUAUAGCGACGCGUCACAAUCGGGCUUAGGGUGUGUUCUGAUGCAGGGCGGAAAGGUGAUCGCUUAUGCGUCCCGUCAGCUGAAGAGCUAUGAGAAGAACUACCCUGUCCACGAUUUAGAGUUGGCCACAGUAGUGUUUGCUCUCAAGUUAUGGAGGCACUACUUGUAUGGCGUGCGUUGCGAGAUAUACACGGACCACAAAAGUCUGAAAUACCUUUUCACACAAAGGGAGCUCAAUAUGCGGCAAUGGUGGUGGUUGGAAUUGCUAAAAGAUUUCGAUGUAACAAUCCUAUACCACCCCGGAAAAGCAAACGUGGUGGCCGACGCGCUUAGCAGGAAGUCAGUGGAGAAUCUUGCUAUGUUGGUCACACGUCAAGAGCCACUGUGGAGAGAGAUGGAACGAUUGGAUCUCGAGGUGGUAGCUCCGGAAAUCCCGUCUAUGCUUACGGCUCUCAUUGUCCAACUGACCUUGUUGGAGUAGAUUAAGAGUUUGCAAUCUGCGGAUCCUAAUCUCCAAAAGGUGCGGCGGGACAUCGAGAGUGAACACGGCAGCGAUUUCAGUAUAGGCGCUGAAGGUACGCUUCGAUUUCGAAACCGAUGGUGCGUGCCGGAAAACGAGGAGGUCCGGAAGUUAAUCUUACAAGAAGCACAUCGGACUCCUUAUAGCAUUCACCCGGGCGGCACCAAAAUGUACCGUGACCUGAAGAUGCAGUAUUGGUGGCCGGGCAUGAAAGCAGACAUUGGGCGCUAUGUAGCACAGUGCCUAGUAUGCCAGCAAGUGAAGGCUGAGCGCCGAUUUUCAGCGGGAAAGCUUCAAAGUUUAUCUAUUCUCGUUUGGAAAUGGGAGAAUAUCGCGAUGGACUUCGUGGUCGGAUUGCCCCGUUCGACAGGUGGCCACGACGCGAUCUGGGUGAUUGUGGAUUAUAUGACCAAGUCGGCACACUUUCUACCAAUUCACACCACCUGAUCGGGCGACAAGUUGGCGCAGGUAUACCUGGGUGAAGUUGUGAGGUUGCAUGGGGUUUCGAAGUCGAUCGUGUUAGAUCGAGACCCCCGUUUUACUUCGCACUUUUGGAUAAGCCUGCAAGAAGCACUUGGCACACGGCUCGAUUUCAGCACCGCGUUUCAUCCUCAGAUAGAUGGACAGUCAGAGAGGACUAUACAGAUUCUGGAGGAUAUGUUGCGGGCAUAUGUCAUUGACUACAAGCGUAGUUGGGCAAACUACUUGAGAAUGGCCGAGUUCGCCUACAACAACAGUUACCAAGCUAGCAUCGGGAUGGCACCGUUCGAGGUCCUAUAUGGGCGGAAGUGCCGAUCCCCUAUAUGUUGGAGCGAUGUAGGUGAACCUGCGGCAUUGGGCCCAGAUGUAUUGCGAGAGGCGGAAGAGAAGGUCCGUCUUGCUAGCGAGAGACUACUUACGGCACAGUCGAGGCAAAAGAGCUAUUCUAACAAACGCCGUAAGACUUGGAAUUCGUGGUAGGUGACUGCGUUUUCUUGAAGGUUUCGCCAAUGAGAGGUGUGAAACGCUUCGGAGUGCGGGGAAAGCUAAGUCCCCGAUAUAUCGGACCGUUCGAAGUGUUGGAACGUAUUGGAGCCGUAGCGUAUAGAUUAGCAUUACCGCCGAAGCUCGCGGGCGUGCAUAAUGUGUUCUACGUCUCCAACCUUCGCAAGUAUGUCCACGAUCCCGAGCACGUUAUGUAUUACGAACCGCAGGAUCUACAAGAGGAUUUGAGCUAUGAAGAGUUCCCGGCGAUGAUCAUUGCUCGAGAAGUGCGAAAACUGAGAAACCGCGAGAUCCCCUACGUGAGGAUUCGUUGGACCAAUCACGACGAUCGUGAGGCCACGUGGGAACUCGAGGAAACGAUGAAAGUGACAAUCCUCAUCUCUUUGAGGAAAUGCAAUGAGGUAUGAGUUAAUUAAGUAAAUGAAUUCGUUUCGAGGACGAAACUCCUUUUUAGGAGGGGAGGAUGUGAGGAAGUGAAUUCUCGAAAUAUGAGGAUUAGACUUCAUCCCAAAUCGACCAAGGGUCAUGUUGGUGUACUUUGGAAAAGCCAAAGGUAUUAAAAUCACCAAAAGUGCAUUGGAAACAAGUCCACGAGAGCAAAUAGUGCAAAACCUGCACUAGAGCAAAAUUGCUCUCUGGGACCGGUCCCAUCAGCUGGUGUUGCGGGGUUGCUUGGGGCAACCGGUCCCUGGUAGAGAGGGAUAGGUUCCUGAACGCGAACCCAGUGAGAAAGCCAGAAAUUUGGCUAAGUCCUGAAAAUAUUGCUUUCGGGGAUCGGUCUCUCAGGCAAGGACCGGUCUCCCGGGCACCGGUCUCUCAGGGAAGGACCGGUACCCGAACGCGUGACCCGAGCUGAAGCUCUCGGGGACCGGUCCCAAGUCGGGGAGACCGGUCCCUCCGCGCGCAGAACGCCUAGUAACGGCAGUGCACAGAGUGAAAAGUUGAGGGGGCCAGUUGGAUAUUGUUACAAUAUGAGGGCUUGUGGUCCCUCUCUCUUUCUCAGCCCCUCAUUUCCCUCUUUCCCUCAUUCAUACUCUCUUGCUCUCUCUCUCUAGAAGAGAAGAAGAAAAAGAAGAAGAAAAAGAAAAGAGAAGGAGAAGAAGGAAGAAAAGGAAGGAGAAGAAGAAGGAGACCAAGAAAAAGAAGGCGUUGGGCUUCUUCCUCUUCCUCUCUUCUCUCUUUUGAGCUAACCUAGAGGUAAGCUUCUAACCCUAGUUUAUGAAAUUUAGGGUUUUUGGGUUUUAGCUCUUUGGAUGGGGUCAAAUGAAUCCCUAGCACCAUGAAUGGUAAGAUUGGAGCUAGAAUCUAGGAUUUUGAGACGGGUCUAGCUUGAUGUUAACCCUAGGGCACCAAAAAUGGGGUUUUUGGAAAAGUAGAGGAUUGAUCUCAUUUGAGACCAUGUAAACCUAAUUGCUAGGUAACGAAACGCGGGAGCGAAGUCGGAAUUUCGAUUCGUCGAGCGGGUCAAGAGCUAUUGGCAAACUAAGGCCGAUUGAGCAUUAUUUAAACCAAGAAAACCAAGGCUUCGUCGUAAAGAACGCCGAAGCGCAUUUCUAGAGCCUCCGUAUACACAAAAGGUGGGGGGUGUCGUCCCGAAACAUCCGGGUUUCUUUUUAUGUCUAAGUUAUAUAUAUGUUGAUCAUAUUGCAUUAUAGGAUUAAUAGAUGUAUAUUUCCUUUUCCUUGCAUGCUUCUUAGUAGUGUACUUAUGAGUCGAACACUUGGACUAGGGUAGCAUGAUGAUUGGGUCUUGUGACAUAGAAUCCUAUAAUGGCAUAAAGAGCCGAACUUGGACAUAGCCUAGUAGAGUGGCAUUGAACUAGUGUGAUAGAAGCACUAUGACAUUAACGAGUGGGCAUGUAGAAUAAUCGAGACAUUUACUAUAAUGACUGAACGAGUGGCAUCGAGUCUAGAGUAGUAAACUUGACAUGAACCUAGGGAUAGUAGAGGUCCCGACAUUGAUUAUACAUCAUGAUUGUGCAGCAGAGGCACAUUGACCCUAGUAGACAGGGUAUCCUCUUGUGAGGAUUGGAUCAUACUCACUAGUCUGUUUUGCUUGUCGGUGGUCUUUCCACCGAGGCACGAGUCUCCGGAGUACUUCACUAGGGGCAGACGUAGUUGUCCCGCAGACGGUCUCGGUGUGCGAGUGCAGCUUUUCCUCACCUAUGAGAUUAAGAGUGAGUCGAGGGUUAACCUACGGGUCAAACCAAGUAGAUUGGGUAAUAAACAUGAAAUGCAUAGUAGACUUGCAUUAUUACCUCGAGUAGACAUAGUGUAUGUUGUAGAUUACAUUGCUAUGUACUUUUGUAUACUCAUGACAUGACUCUAGCAUGAUGGUAGUUGUUGCAUGCAUUAUUAUCAUCGAUGGCAUGAUAGAGUAGUUGCAGUUUAUCUUUUAUAUAUCUAUUUAUCUCUCUAUCUGUGCCAGCUUAGACCUAGUGAAAAAACCGGCGGCGUCGGCGGCCGAACCCACUGGGAAUUAUAUUCAUAUAGUUCUCACCCCAUGUGGUUUUGGGGUACAGGUACACACAGAGGCGAGCUGAGCAAGGAUCGCGGCAAGGGUAUAGCGCCCUAAGUGAGCCUAGUUAGUAGCUUUCCCUUUAUGCAUUAGAGUACCCUUGUGUACUAGAUGUUUUGGAUAGUUGUUGGAGAGCUACUUGUAUUUUGAACCAAACAUGUAUUUACAUUUUGGAAAAUGGAAAUGUAAUAUAUUCAAAUGAUGUAAAUGUUGAAUGGUUGUAUUAGCUAGAUGUACUCUCUUUAUACACUUGUAUUUUAGUCGUGGUUCUUGCUCUUAGCUAUUGUGCACUUGUGUGCAUCGUAUCGAUCAUGUAUAUUAUUUAAGCAUAUCCUGGACGCUUAAUUGUACAUGAUCUGGUUGCUUGGCCUUGGACGGACAGGAGAGGUGCUGUCCGUUCGGCGUCUGUUCGACGCGCCCGAACCGGACCAAAUUGGUAGUGGUUUCGGGGCGUGACAGGAGACCUGAUUUUUUACAUUAUAGCCAGAAUCGGAACACUUAUAUGGCGGUUUGGUACAUGCGAAGCUUUAUAUGGCACACCUAUAUACAUGACAGCCAAUCUAUGUACCUGCCAGUGAUAGGCAACAACGGAACACGUAUACGGCGGUUCGGUACACUUUACUCCUUGUUUGGAACACCCAUAGCUGCACAUAUAAAUACCCACUACAUGCUAGAUGGCCCUUACUAAAUUAGUUUGCAUUUGUAACCAAUCUAUAUUUCUUGGCAAUGGAUGAGGUAAAAAACUUAUAUACCUACACUCCCAAGUGCAUCCACGAUGUAGCGGGGCGGCCAUGGGUACUUGAGCAAGACGACAGGUUCUCGUACCCAAUACCAGUUCGCGCUCUCUAUUCCCAACAGGUAUAUGAGCAGAUGCUCGAGGAGUGGGAAUAUAGGGUCUCAGAAUCAAAUGAUAUAUUUGAGUAUAUGAUGGUAAGAGGUAGUGUAUACACGCGCCGUGCUAUAUUUCUUCCUAGAAAUGAUGUAAACACAUUACUAACUUCUUUAAAUGUAAUAUGUAAGGAAAAUAACGAAAUGGCCUUAAUGAUGCUUGAUGAAUAUCCAGAAGUGUCCACGCCGAAUCCCCGAACCUAUUCUAAUUAUUUAAGACUAUCAGAUGAGUUCAAUCUUGCUAAGCGAAGAUCGCAACUUAGCAGAGAUGCUUACUGGAAUGCUUUGUAUGCUGAAUGGGCUAAUCGGUUUGGAGAAAUUAUGCAACUUGUUGAGGACCUCUUUGCUGUGUUAGCCCCUAUUCCUCCAGUUCCUUUCACAUUUCCACCAGGAACCUCAAGAUUACUUGCGAGAGAGAUUGUUGCAAUGCGAAAAACAGUUAAAAAAAUACUGGUGCGCUGAGCUAGGCACGCUAUGGUCUCACAUGCUAUCAGGUUCUUCAAAGAUAGUAGCAUAGAUAUUAAUAGCAGUAUAUAUCAUCGUAUCGUAUUGUAUCCCGACUAUGCAUCGGACUUUUACCUAUCAGAUGCCGAAUGAUGUAUAAUAAUGGUAUUUACAAUACUACGAGUGUACACUUUUUAAUGCAGGGUUGGAAUCUUUAUAAUGUAUAUAAACCUGAUAUGGUAUUUCAACGUAUUGAGUUUAGAAUUUUCUCAUGCAUCUAAAACGUUAUUUUCACUAUAAGUGAGCAACAAAUGUUCCCGUAUUUAUGUGUAAUUUCAGUAAGAUUUCCUAAUCUGAUGUUCUAUUGUAUGCAAAGUUAAUUAUAUUCAAUUAUAAGCAUUUCAGUUAAACGGAAAACUAUAGAACUAUUUCGUACAUUUAUAGGGUAGGGUUUGCUUUUACAGUUAUAGCUUAAUUUGGAAUAAACAAUGAGCACAACGGAUCCUAUCAUCACUACUGUAGGAACAACCAUAUAUAUGACAGUGCUAAGUAACUCAUAAAAAAAGUAAAGAGCUAUAGCUGUACCGAGGUGCAUCUAUAAUGGUGUAGGGCACAUCCAUAUAUGUAGUGGUGAUAGGACCACCUUUAUCUGCCAACCUGAUUUUGUACAUCAUAGACAGAAACAGAACAGUUAUACUGCGGUUAGGUACAGCUAUCGCCUUGGUUCGAACAUCCAUAUAUAUGACAGUGCUUAGUAACUUUCAUAAAAAAAGCCCUAACUAUAGUAUCGAGGUGCACACCCAUAUAUGUAGGGCACACCCAUAUAUGUAGUAAUGAUAGGAGCACUUUUAUUUGCCAAUCUGAUUUUACACAUCAUAGACAGAAACAGAACACUUAUACUGUGGUUGGGUACAGCUAUCGUCUUGGUUGGAACACCCAUAUAUAUGACAGUGCUAAGUAACUUUCAAUAAAAAAGUCCUAACUAUAGCUGUACCACGGUGCAUCUAUAAUGGUGUAGGGCACAUUCAUAUAUGUAGUAGUGACAGGGCUAUUUUUAUCUGCCAACCUGAUUUUGCACAUCAUAGCCAGAAACGGAACACUUAUACUGCUGUUGGGUACAGCUAUCGCCUUGGUUGGAACACCCAUAUAUAUAAUAGUGCUAAGUAACUCUCAAAAUAAAAACUCUAGCUAUAGCUGUACCGAGAUGCAGUUAUAGUGGUGUAGGGCACAUUCAUAUAUGUAGUAGUGAUAGGACCACUUUUAUCUGCCUACCUGAUUUUUCAUAUCAUAGCCAGAAACGGAACACUUAUACUGUGAUUGGGUACAGCUAUCCCCUUGGUUGGAACACCCAUAUAUCUGACAGUGCUAAGUAACUCUAAAAAAAAAAGCUCGUACCGAGGUGCAGCUAUAGUGGUGAAGGGCACAUCCAUAUAUGUAGUAGUGAUAGGACCACCUUUAUCUGCCAACCUGAUUUUGCACAUCAUAGCCAGAAACGGAACACUUAUACUGCGGUUGGGUACAGCUUUCGUUUUGGUUGGAACACCCAUAUAUAUGACAGUGUUAAGUAACUCUCAAAAUAAAAGCUCUAGCUAUAGCUGUACCGAGGUGCAGCUAUAGUGGUGUAGGGCACAUUCAUAUAUGUAGUAGUGACAGGACCACUUUUAUCUGCCUACCUGAUUUUUCACAUCAUAGCCAGAAACAUAACACUUAUACUGCAGUUGGGUACAGCUAUCCCCUUAGUUGGAACACCCAUAUAUCUGACAGUGCUAAGUAACUAUAUAAAAAAAAUCAAAGAGUUAUAGCUGUACCGAGGUGCAUCUAUAGUGGUGUAGGGCACACCUAUAUAUGUAGUUGUGAUAAGACCACAUUUAUCUGCCUAACUGAUUUUUCACAUCAUAGCUAGAACAGGAAACACCAAUAUCACUCUUGACAUGAUCUAUAAGGAUAACAUAGCAACACUAUCUCUUUUGCAAACAUAACAGUACUAUAUCGUCAGCAGUCAAUAUUACAUAUUGAAAUAACAACUAUCAUAUUUUUCAUACAAAUUUUUCACUUUCUACGAGAAUAGAAUUUUAACACACAAAAUUGCUAAAAUAAAUACAAUAAAUAUCUUUCUCUCAGUUUCGAUCCUUUCCGUCAAUGCUGUUGUUCUUGUAGAAACUUCUGCAACUUUAGUUUUCAAGUUCUCUAUUUGCUUGGACAAUAUAGAGAGGUUGUUAUUUAAGCUCUGAAGUAUCUUCUCAUCGGAUUGUUUUUGGGAAGAUGCUGCUGAUUCAAAUGCCGAGGUUUUCUUCAACUGUGAGAGAUUUGAACUUUCUCCUUAUGAAUGUUCUUCUUAUCGCAGCACAUGAAAAAGUCAUAGUAAUUUUCAUUUUUCUUUCCAUAUUUGCGACGACCAUAAAAUUGUCUUCCUUUACUUCUAGCUUGUUGUGAAGAUCUAAUUAUAGCUAUCUCAUUACAUUUGCACAAAACUACCCUGUCUUCAAGAGAACUUGCCAUCAGCAAUCUACACAAAAUGGUAAAACAAGUUAAAAAAAAAAGACUAACAAGUAAUCAAAUGAACAGAUCUUAAAAAAAAAGGCUAACUUAAAUUGAUCAAAUCAACAUAUUUAAAUAAAUGAAGAAUACAAACUGAAAUUUAUCCAAUGCACAGUUUCAUACACUGGAAUAACUAGACUUCAUGAAUGGUUUUUAUAUUCUUCUCUUUUCUAUCAUGACUUUCGAGUGAAUGCAAAGUUUCGUGGUAAAUAAAAACUAUGACACCGAUUGAANAAUAUACUCACUUAAAUUGAUCAAAUCAACAUAUUUAAAUAAAUGAAGAAUACAAACUGAAAUUUAUCCAAUGCACAGUUUCAUACACUGGAAUAACUAGACUUCAUGAAUGGUUUUUAUAUUCUUCUCUUUUCUAUCAUGACUUUCGAGUGAAUGCAAAGUUUCGUGGUAAAUAAAAACUAUGACACCGAUUGAAGGCAUCCCUGAUGUUUCAAAAAACGAGUAAUAACUACAAAAAACCAAAAAUAAACAUGUUAAAGUUUGUGGAUUGAUGUAUUAAGGUUGCAAAAACAAAUUUGAAAAUCAUAGAAACAAAUUCCCAAACAAACAACAUAUGAAAAAUUGUAGAUCUAUUUUAUUUUAUGUUGCAAAAAAUAAUAAAUAAAAGUCAAAAAAUAUAUCAUUGGUAAAAAAAAUCAGACCUCGUUUGAUAGAGAGGGGCGACGCGGAGAGCGGGGGGUGGCGUCGGAGGAGGGCGGUCACCAGGGUUUGUGCGCACAGAAGGAGGGCGGCGAGCAGAGGGCGGCGUCCAGAGAGAGAUCGAGAGAGAGAGAGAGAGAGAGAUAGGGAGAGUGGGGAAGGAAGUGGGAAGAUGUUGAGAGAGAGAGAGCAUUUACGAAGAGAGAGAGAGAGAGAGAAGCAACAAACGGUUUAAUUUUCAAAUUUCAAAUUUCAAUUUGCAAUUUGCAAUUUUCUAAUUUCAAUUUUCAAUUUUCAAUUUUCAAAUUUCAAAUUUUAAAUUUCAAAUUUCAAAUUUCAAAUUUCAAAUUUUAAUUUUUAAUUUUCAAUUUUAAAAUUUAAGAUAAAAGUUCAAAUUUGACAUUUUAGAUUUUAAAAUUUAAAUGUAAAAAUAUAAAAUUUAAAUUUUGUACAAUUUUGAAAUUUAAAAAUUUUAAUUUUAAUUCAAAUUAAAAUAUAUUUUAAAUUAUUUUAAAAUAAUAUUUAAUAAAAUUAUUAAUUUAUGCAAAUAUUAAAAAAAAUUUGCCAAACAGCUUUUCAAAAUCACUUUAGAAAAAUCACUUUUAUCUAAAUUCUGCCAAACGCUCUACGACUUUUAACCAAAAUCACUUUUCCAUUUAUACUACUUUCAGGAAAAUUUGUAGUGUUAAAGGGAACACCUCUAUACCUGCCACAUCUAUAUGUCCACUUCUAUAUGGUAGGCUAAGCCCUGUAGUGCUAUAGCUUAGGAUGGAACAGUUAUACUACUUCCAGAUACAUCCGUAGUGUUAAGGGCACACCCAUGUACCUGCCACAUCUAAAUGGCCACUGCUAUACGGUAGGUUUUGCUUUUGCAGCUAUAGCCUAAAUUGGAACAGUUAUACUACUCCCCGAUACAUCUGUAGUGUUAAAAGACACACCCAUAUAGCUGCCACAUCUAUAUGUCCCACUUCUAUAUGGUAGGCUUUGCAUCUAUAUCUUUAAAUGGGACAGUUAUAGAGAUCAUGCGUGUAAUAUACCGAGAAUUCGGAAAAUAAAUGUCGAACUUUAGUCAAAUUGACUAAAGUGCGAGGAUGGUACACUUCGGAAAGUCCGAAGGUGUUAAAAUGAGCAAAAGUGCAUUGUUGGAGGUCGUCGAGAGCUUAAAGAUUCAAAAUCUGCAUUCUGCAGGUUUUGUGCUCUCGGGACCGGUCCCUGAAGGAGAGACCGGUCCCCGUACGCGUGAGAACUGAGGAAAGCUGAAAAUCGGCUAAGUCCUGAGAAGGCAGGCUUCGGGAACCGGUCCCUGCCGAGAGACCGGUCCCCCGGAGACCGGUCCCCCAAGAGAGAUCGGUCGCAUCGCGCGGGAGCCUUGGCUGCUGCUGGGACGAGCUACGGGAACCGGUCCCUGGUCGGGAGGACCAGUCCCAGCACACGAAAUCUGCCCAGUCCAGGCAGUGUAUUGAGGUGAAAGUUGAGGGUUUUAACUGCAAUUUUGCAACCCAUAGAGUAUAGUAUGGGGGGAAAUGAGAUGUUUCUCUCAUUUUACUCCCCCUCACACUCUCUUCUCUCUUUCUCUCUCUAGAAGACAAGGAGGAGAAGAAGAAGACAAAGGAAAAGAAGGAAAAGAAGGAGAAGAAGGUGGAGAACAAGAAGAAGAGUUGAAGCAACUCUCUCCUCUCCUUCUCUAGCUUGGAAAAGGAGAGCUUACAAGGUAAGCUUUGAACCCUAACCAUGGUAGAACCCAAACUAGGGUUUGGAUUAUUAGGCUAAGAAUGGUUUUUAUAGAACCUCUAGAGUAUUUGAAGCUUUCUUUUUGCUUCUUUUGAGAUCAAGACCAUGGCAUGAGUGUAAUGGGUGAAGCUUGAAGGUGAGCUUGACCCCUCUCAUGGUAGAAUCCAAACUAGGGUUUGGAUUGAACUAAAGAUGGUUUUAAUGGACUUCCUAGAGUAGAAUGAAGCUACUUUUUCUUCCCAAUGAGAUCAAACCCUAGGUUUUCUUAUGCUAUGGAGCUAGGGCACCUAAAUUGGGGCUUUUGCUCGUGGGAAUUUCUAAGUGAAAUUGACCCUCUAGAAACCUAAUUGGGGACUAAACGAACGCGUUGGUGCGCUCGGUUUGAGUAUACGAAAAGCCAAUGUAAAGGUAUGAGCAAAAUGGCCUAAUAGGGCUUCGUUUUGCCGCAGGUAAAGAACGAAGGGUCUAAAAAUCCCAAGAAAAUCAUCGGAGCACCUUUGAAAACCUACGAGGUGGGUGGUGCUUUUCAAACUCGUUGAAUUUCUCUCUAUGCCUAAUGUGUCAUCCAAUUGAGCAUAUGUAUAUACAUUGUUGCAUGCAUUUUAGGGUAAAGCAAUGAUAAAAAUGUGAUGUUGCAUGAUUGUGAGUACAACUUGCGUAAUGUGAUGGUUAAGAACCUUAUGAAUGUCAAAAACCCUAUAUAUGUAUGCAUGAGAGAAAAUGUGAGUACCAAAGUGAGGCGAAAGAACAGAGUGACACAAUGAGACAUAGAUCGAGUGGCAUUUGGUAAUGUAAAGUAAAGUGACACUAGAGGUAGUGUGAGGCAAAGAAUCAAUAUAAUGUAAAGAAUAAUGAUAAUAACUAAAGUGAAAACAAAGUGGGGUGUAAAGAACAUGAAUGCCAAAGAUAGCCAAAAGUAAAGAAAUGUAAAGAACAUGAUUGCUAGAGUUAGCAAAAGUAAAGAAAGGUAAAGAACAAUGAUUGCUAGAGUAGCAACAUAAAGUGAUGUAAAGAACACUAGAAUUAGUGUAAAGUCAAGAUUGAACAUACAAUCGUUUGAGUUAAGGAUUCGAUCAUACUUGUUAUGAGUUCCGUGCUCGAGGGCGGUCGCUCCCCCUCGGGCGAUGCGCUCCGGAGUUUUGCAUCACGGGUUGGAGUAAAUCCGAGGACGGUCUUAGCGGGAGGAAGCUGAGGGCCCGCGAUGAUGGACUUAAUGUGAAGCAAGUUAAUGUGGCAAAACCCCCGGGUUAGCCUUGAAAUUAAAGAACAAAGAGUAAAGAACAAAGAACAAAGACAAAGUGUAAAGUGCAAAGAACAAAAGAACUUGCAUAAUCUGCAUAUGUUAAUGUUGAGCAUAUUUCCUGCUUAUUGUUCAGGCAUAUUAGCAUCAUAUUAUAGAUUGGUUACUAUAUGCAGCUUUUCCUUUCUAUUAUGCCUGAGUUAGUCCUAGUGGGAAAGUCGGUGAGAUUGAGGCCGAACCCACUGGGAACUUUGUUGUAGUUGUCAUGCCCCGCGACCAACCGCCAAUUCGGACCGGGUCGCGGCGCCGCUAACAGACCGCUGAACGGACCGGGGUUUCCCCUGUACGCGGACAGAGUCUCCCCUGAAUGUUCUAGGCGUCGCAAUCCAAACAAACAACGAGUGUUCCAACUAGGAACGGAUAUCAAUCCAGAUUGCAAAGGAAGUAUCAAAUAUAUAAACUACUUGCUAAUACAAGCAUUCAUUUUCACUCACUUAGAACAUCUCAGUUUCAGUUUACAAUUUACUUCCAAUUACAAUCACAUUAUUACAUCAUUUAUUUUGCAAGCUUGAUACAUUUUGAUUCCUUGCUUUCUAGGCCCCUAAGCUAGACUGCCUUAGGGUACUGCUACCUCGGUCUCUGUGGUAGAGCACUAUCUACUGAGCUACGCCCUCGCCUCGCGCCACCGCGCUGCACACGUACAACUUGAAAACACCCCAAAACCACGUGGGGUGAGAACCAACACCAUGGUUCCCAGUGGGUACGGCCACCCAAGGGAAAAGCUCGACCGAUAGGUCCGAGGAGGCACCGCAACAUGUUAGUUCAACAAUAUACAACAAAUAUAUAUUCAAUUGAAAUACAUGCCAUGCCUCACGAUAUGCGAUAUGGAAAUCAUGCAACUCUAUGCAACAUCUAGUAGAUCAUUUGAUCCUACUCAUUACCUGGCUACUCUUAGCUCAAUUCAUCAACACUAAGGUUUCUAUUACCUUAGGAUCUCAACUCAGUUCACUGGCUUCUAAGGUCUCUAUUACCUUAGCUCAAGCCCCUAUUUCUAGCUCAUGAGGGUUCCUCUACCCUAUUGAAGCUAACCACACGACUCGGCUCCGAGUCAAUCAUCCGCGGAUAGCACGCGCACUGGCUGCUCAUCAGCCUACCGUCCUCUCUGUCUUAGCCCCCUAGCGGCGAAGUCGUCGCACACGCUAAGCCUGGCUCAAGUCGCACGACUUGACCAACUGGCGGCGAUCACGUUGCUCUUACCCAGCGUGAGCUCGAGUCAUGACAUACCGUCUGGCGGUGAACGGAUCGCACCACACCCAACAACGGUACAUGUCGGACUCAGCCACCUCGAGGCACCCGUAUAGUACUUACCCAGCAUGGAUUCAGUCUGCUCUGGCGGUCUGAUCCUCAAAUGGCUUAACCAUCCUGGCGGCGAAAUCGUCGCACAAACGCCACGGCAAUGGUUCAAGCCCCGGGCGGUGAUCUCUAUGUGAUCGCCCCCAAUCCUCCCUCGGUACCAAGCUCGGCGGCGAAGUCGUCGCACAAACGCCCUAGCUUCUACCAGGGUCAUCACAAGUCAUGGGAUUCCGGAAUCCACUUUCCACAGGUCGAGGGUCCAUAGCCAACCCUAUACUUUCGACCUAUCUCAUCCUAGUGGCUAUACCACUAUACUCAUCAACCUAGAUUCCAAUACUCUAGGUUCUAUGUCCAUGUCACUUAACCUAGAUACACUUGCUAGGUUCUUGUCAUCUUUACCUAGAUGUCCACUUCUAGGUUUACUAGUUCGACCUAGGUUUACUAACACUAGGUUCGAUGCCACACACCUAGAUUGCUCGACUCUAGGUUUACUUGUUUAACCUAUGUUCUUUAACACUAGGUUAGAUGCCACUCGAUCUACCUGACAACCUAAUUGUCCAAUCAUCUCAGCUCACACUAGAGUUAUUAUCUAGUUCAUAUACAUGUACUCCUAGCAUAUUCCUUAAUGCCGAUCAUGUAUUCUUACUUGUCAUGCUCAUUAUGCUUCUACUUAGCACUUUCAUCUAUGCAUUAUUGUUAUCAUGCAUUCUUUACUUAGCCUUUACUUUAUGCAUAUUUAUUAAUGCACCAUUUAGUCUUGUCUACAUGCAUAUGCAUCAACAUGAGAUUACAUUGCUAAGACAUAAAGGUCGACCUAGUUGCUUCGGUAAGCACAAUCCACCUUAAUAGCUUUUUCGAUUGCUCGUCGACACUUGCAAUCGGCUUCCCGCGGCACUCGGCACCCGUUUGGGCCCGAUCUCACAGUUGCUCCUCACGAGCGCGCCGCUUCACCGUUUCAAGUGCUAACGAUCUUUGCCUUGCUGCUACGGUGCUCGGGACCCGAUCUCACGAUUUAUGGACGUCGCCUCGGCCUCCCAGGCGGAAACAAAGCUCCAAGCAUCCGUUUCUUCAAUAUCUUUGCAACGGCUUGUCGGAUUGCCGAACCGACUUCGCCAACGUGUUUCGUUACCUACCAAUUAGGUUUACGAAGGGUCAAAUAAGAUCAAACCCUCCCAAAUCACAAAAUCCCAUUUUGGAUGCCCUAAAUGCCAAUACUACCAAAUCCACCAAAUCGAUCUAUGAUUUGGGUAUUAUCCAUCUAGAUAGCAUGCUAGGGUACUAAAAAUACCAUUUCUAGGGUUUAAAAACCGAUCUACAAAAAUGUCACGCCCCGAGCCCGCCUAUUUGGUCGGUUUCGGGCACGCCGACAGACCGCCGAACGGACAGGGUUUCCCCUGUACCGCGGACAGAGUCUCCCCUGUACAUUCAAGGCGUCGCAAUCAAUACAAUGUACGAAGUUCCAACCAGGAACACAUUUCAAUCAAAGAUUGCAUAAGGAAGUAUCAAAAACAUAAGCUACUUGCUAUUACAAGCAUUCACAUUAUUUAGAUACAUUUUACAUCACAAUUACAUAAUACAUUUAACUUCCAAAUACAAUCAUGCUUUUAUUACAAAUUAUUGCAAUCUUAUCCCUUUCAUUUUCUUACAUUCCUAAGUAAAGCCGACUCAGGAUACCGCUAUCUCUGGUCUCGGUGGUAGGGCGCUAACUACGGAGCUACGCCCUCGCCUCGCGCCGCCGCGCCGCUCACGUGUGAACCUGUAACACCCCAAAACAACGUGGGGUGAGAACCAACUCCAUAGUUCCCAGUGGGUACGGCCACCCAAGGGAAAAGCUCGACCAAUAGGCCCAAGGAGGCACUGCAAUCAUGUUAGUCCAAAAACAUCUAUAUAUAUAUCACCAUGUUAUUAUACAACUAACAGAUAACAUGCCUCACAAAAUGCGAUAUGCAAAACCUGUAACUCAUGCAAGUAGUUUACUUGAUUCUACUACAUAUUAUUAGUCAUUCUUUACAUGUAGCCGUUCUUUACUUAUUUAACUAUUCUCAUUCAUUAGCUAUUCUUUACAUCAUUUCCUUGUUACAUUAUACUCAUUGGCGGUUCUUUAUUCUUUGACAUUCUUGAUUUUUUGAUAUACUUUAGCAUUUGCCGUUCUUUCCUAAGAUUACUUUACCUUAGCCAACUAUGCUACUCGACUCGGUCUUGAGUCAAUCAAUCGCGGAUAGUCCGCGCUCUGUCUAGCCCGAGGUGAAGGAACUCUCUCACAUGCACCUCAGCUAACCACAGCCUACCGUACUCCUGUCCUAGCCGUCUGGCGGCGAACGCAUCGCACCUCACCCAACAACAGCCUAGGUCAUGACUUAGCCACCCGGCGGCGAAAUCGUCGCACACGCCACGUCGAUGGUUCAGUCAACAGGCGGUAUGAUCCACUAACUGGCUAACCAUCCGGCGGCGAAAUCGUCGCACACGCCACGACAAUGGUUCUAUAGCCCCUGGGCGGCGAAAUCGUCGCACACAACCCACACCCCUCUCGGUGUAUCCAUUUAGCUUUGGGAUUCCGGAAUCCAUUUCACAUCACAUAAGGGUUGGUCUUAUCCCUAUAGAAUUGACCUAUCUAGGUCCAAGCCUUUACUCAACCUAAGUUAUACUUUAGGUUUGCUGCCUCCAUACUCAUAGCCUAGGUUUAUUAACUCUAGGUUCAUUACCUUUGCCCACCUAGGUUCAUGUGAUUCUAGGUUCGUUAUCUUUAUCUUACCACCUAUGUUCUCUAACAUUAGGUUUAAUGCCACUUGAUGUCCAACUUAUGUUCUUUGACACUAGGUUCAUAUCAUCCAUGUUCAACCUAUGUCCAUGACUCUAGGUUUAAUGCCACUCGAUCUAAUGUAUAUAGAUUGUCCAUAUGCACAUUAUACUAGUUUUCCAAUGUCGAGUUCUCUAAUCAACCUAGAGUUAUCGACCCCAAGUUUAACAUGUACAUGUCAACAUGCAUAGUUCAUCCUACAACAUGCAUAGUUCAUCUAUCACACGCAAUAUGUCAUUUACUUAGCAUUCUUAUUUUAGCAUCCCUAAAACAUGCUUAUCAUACAUGAACUUAGCAUUAUCCAAAUGCAUGCUUAUCAUGUAAUCUUUAGUAUUACUCAAUGCAUUCAUCUAGCAUUAUUUACACUAAGUCAUCAUGCAUUCCCUUUAUCAUGUUCUUAUAAUGUUAACAUUCAUAUGCCCUUUAUCUUAUGCAUUCAAAGCAUUAAUCACAUGCAUUUCUCUAGCAUUUCUAUAAUAUGUUAACAUGCAUUAAUAUGAAAUCUCAUUUCUCUUAGACAUACAGGCGACCUGGUCGCUUCGGUAAGCACAACCCACCUCAUUUCGCAUUCCGAUUGCUUGUCGACACUUGCAAUCGGCCGCCCGCGGCACCCGGCACUCGGUUUGGCCCGAUCUCUUGCGCGACCACCCGAACGGCCUCCAAUCCACGAUCCGAAAAUUAAAGGUUUUCGGUUAUGUGCCACGAUGGUUCAAAUCCGUUUUUAUGGGUUUACGAUGUCGCCUCGGCCCUCCAGGCGGAAACAAAGCCUAAACGUCUGUUUCUUUAAUAACUUCGCAACGGCUCGACGAAUCGCCGAACCAUCUUCGCCAACGCGUUCGUUUACCUAGCAAUUAGGUUUAUGGAGGGUCAAAUGAGAUCAAACCCUUAUAUUUACAAAACUAGCAUUUUGAACCCUAGGUUUUCUACUAAGUAAAAACCCACCAUUAGGGCCUUGAUUUCAAGCAUCAAUCCUCUAAUUAGCAUGCUAGAAUACCUCUAAAUCCAUUUCUAAGGUAUUUAAACCAACCAUUAAGGAUCUACCAUUAAAGGGUAGCAAAAGCUUACCUCUCAAUUAGCUCCAAACCAUGGAGAAGAUGAAGAAGAUGAAGGCGAUCCAUCUCCAAGCUUCAAUCUCCACUAAUUUCAUCAAUUUUGGGAGAGAAUUAGAGAGAGAAAAGAGAGGUUUCUCCUUUCCUUUCCAUGCGUGUGUUGUGUGUGUGUGUGCGGGUGUGUGUGUGCGGCUGGGAGGAAGAAGAAGAAGCAAAGCUUCUUUAUACAUUAACACCCAACACUAUUCACUCCAGGCAACUUAAAAUCUGAUAGCUUUCGCCGGAGCUCUCUGAACGUCCGUUUGAGCUCAAAGUUGACAGCAUGUUCGGUUUUACGUACUGACCAAGAAUAUAUUUUAAGUUUUCAAUUUCGACCUCAUUUGGUCACCGAAAACUGUACCGAACUGUAAUCUUUAUCAGAUAACUGUCGGAUUUUAUUUCUCACUCUACGGGUGUCAGAAAAAUAUGAAACUUUAAAUUUAGCCUCAUAAAAAUAUUUCUGACUUAUCCUCCAAUUUUCAUAAUUUUCUGAGACUGUGCAUUUUCUGCUAAUUUAUCUGUCCCGUUUUCAAUAGAAAAUUCUAGAUCUUCCGUUUUCAUUCCGAUUUCAGCACAAGUCACUUCUGACUUAUAUUUUAUGUAACACCCUGGACCUUUGCAAAUUGCGAGGUUCGAGUGUUUGGGUGUAUUUCGAGCUUUUCCACACUUGGUGGAGGGUUGUAGAAUGUUUUCCGACCUAAAAAGUUCGAAAAUCGAAAUUCUGGAUAAGUCCUGAGAGUUUUUACUCUCGGGGACCGGUCCCUGGAAGGAGAGACCGGUCCCCCAGUGAGCAGUACUGCGGCAGCCUUGAGGCAACCGGUCCCUGGCGGCGAGACCGGUCCCCGAGCGCGUCUAGGCAGUGAGAGACCGGUCCCGCGCAGGGAGAGACCGGUUCCCGAACGCUGGUUUUUCGGGUUCGCAGCGAGAGACCGGUCCCUGCUGGGGAGAGACAGACGCAGUCCCUCUGGGCUAAAACUGCCAGACCGGGCUGUAGGGUAAUAUGGAUUUUGGAGGCCCUAGCUGGAUUUGUCACAAUUAGAGGUCUAUAUGAUCCUCUCCACUCUCUCCUCUCCCCAUUUCUUUCUCUCAACCCUCUCCACACCCUGAUGAGAAGAAGAGAAGAGAGAGUUAAAGGAGAAUGAAAGGAGAAGAAGAAGAAGAGAAGGAGAAGAAGUAUUGUACUACUAGUGGAGCUUGGCGAAUCGUUCCUCACUUCUCCCCCGUCCCCCCAUCUUUCUUGGUGCUUGGGAAGGUGGACUUGAGAGCUGCCAAAGAGGAGAUCUUAUCCCCACCCUUGGGGAAGGCUUCGGGGAAGAUUGAGCUCUAAGGAGGUUUGUUGCGUCAUUUCCCUCCUCGUAGAUCUUAGUUUUGAUAGUUUUGAUAGAUGAGAAACCUAGAAAUGAGAUUUAGGGUAGUUUAAAUGGGCUUUUUGAUCUAGGGCUUUUGCAGGGUGCUAGAUUAAUUGUUAUAAUCUUCUUGGCUUGGAUUGGAAGGCCUCAAGCUCUGCUUUUUGUGAGUUUUGGAAGAAUUUCUACUCUUGAUGGUACAGUUUUGACCCUUAUGUUCGCUAGUAAUGUUUGAUAAUAUAAGAUGCGUCGUAUGCCUCGUAUCUCUUCGCUGAUCACUUUAGGUACUUGAGACUUCGUGGCAACUUCAUUCGGCGAAUCGAAGAGCACGACGACGAGUUCGGUGGGUUGACCUAGUCCUACAGAUGCAGAAAUUCUCAUAUGUGUUAUAGUAUUGUUCCCUUAAAUUUUGAAAAAAGCAUGCAUAUUCAACUAAAUGUAUAUUAUGAUUUUUAGAAUGCUUUAAAAUUGCUAUGUUAUAAUAUAAUGAUUUGACCUCUAUGUAUAGAGGUUGCCUUGAGAGAGAGUUGGUUGCAUUUAGCAUUCUAUACGAGACUUUGGUUUCAUGUUUUCUUAGUGUAAUGAGUCUGAAUUUCCAUGUAUUAACUUAAGUUUACUUGUGACAUUGAAAGAUGAUGAAAUUCCAUAUAGAGAGCGUAUCUGAGCUACGAAUGUAGCUGAACUAGCGAAGGCUAAUGUCAUCAAGCGUGGCAUUGAGCUCGGACAUGUGUGAACAUAGUGAUAGGGCCAUUGAGGUGAUCUUGGAAUAUCAUGUUGGACAUCAAAUGCAAGGUGUCAUAAGGGGCACUAGGGUAGCAAAAGCUGAAAAAUUCACAUUAGCCUUAAACAAUCUCCGGGAUGCUAGUACUAUAUCAUGUAGGACAGUGAGGCAUUAGAUACUUGAGACUUGGACUUGCUGUCUUGCCUAUUUGUUGCUCUGAUCGCAAUGCUUUGUUGGAGGGUCGUUUUCCACAAGCCUUUUGGCCACUCCGGAGUUAGCCUAUANNNNNNNNNNNNNNNNNNNNNNNNNNNNNNNNNNNNNNNNNNNNNNNNNNNNNNNNNNNNNNNNNNNNNNNNNNNNNNNNNNNNNNNNNNNNNNNNNNNNUGUUGUCUUUUAUAUUCUGUUUGCAAAUGUCUCUUUUCAUCGAAUUCCUAAGUUGAAACAGGUGAUCAUUGAAUGGUGGAUUCAGCUGUUUGACUCCCCCCUGUAGUAUAAAUUGUUACAAUCUAACUGUGCGAACACAGCACUCCACUGUAAGCAAAAUUUAUCCGCUCACCGCACAUAAUUCACUUAUUAAAUAACGGUUCUACGGCAAAACAUUGACAUUUGAGACUAAAAUUUUGUUACCUUUGUAUAAUAGUCUGAUAUUGAUUUGCCUUUGUCCUUUUUGGUAGCGACUAGGGUAGCUAUUUUGAUUUUAUCGUCAACUGUAGUGAACUCAGCUAGAAAAGCUUCUUCCCUGUAGUCUUUAAUUUUGAUGGAUUCGUCUUCAAGCGAGUAAUACCACUAGAAUGCCACUUCCAGAACAAUCUUGUUCAGUGUUUCUAGCUGGUCCAAUUGAUUGUUCAAGGGCCGACCAUUUCAAAAGUGGGGACAACAUUAUUUUCAGCUGCACGUUGCUUCUUCUUAUCGCUCUACCAUGCUAAAGCCCAACUAGGUCAGUAACAGACCCAAUUCAUGGACAAAAUUUUUUCCGUACAUGUAAGGUGCCAGAAUUAGAAGCAGCAUAUAAGAGUUAUAAUUUGUAUAAUAUAACAUGACAAACGAAAUACGAUAGAUUACUCUUGACAAUAUUCCUAUAAUAUUCUGCAUCCUUUUUUUGAGUAAUAAAGCUUACAUAACAUUUUAUUAUUAUACUAUUUAUAAAAGGUUUACUUAAUACACACAUCCAAAAUAAUAUUCUACAAGUUCAACAUUCUAUUCAUCAUUUUUAUUUUUUUUCCACCUCAAACACGUUAUUAACAAAGUUUAGGGAUAUUUAACUUCUACGUUAGUGUUGAUUUGCCUCAUGGUUCGCUUAUCAUCAUUGAAUACAUCACAUGUGUGAAAAGAUAACAUAAAAGUGGAUGAGAAUUUCUAUUAUUCUUAAAUUUCUCUUGGUUUCUUUUUUUUUUCUUCUCCAACAAUUGUUGUCGACACUGCUUUUUUUAAAAAAUUAUUAUUUACAAUUGUUACAGGUCCGUGCGAGACUAAUUGAUGUCCAAUAUUCGGUGGAAACUCGACUGAAAUAAAAACCAAGAUUAAACAUUUAGAACAACAAAUCUGCUAUCUUCCCCGCUCUGCUGCUUACAUGCUUGUCUAUCUUAAUGGUGUAAGGUCUAGACUUUUGCAUUUUGCUUUGCUACAACGGAAGAAUAUGCAUUGCGAAAUGUAAUCAAUCACAUGAUUCUCAACAUCUUCAACCAACUUGCACAUGCCGUGCAAAUAGUAAGAGUCCCAAAUAGCAUGUUGCAAGUCUACAAUCCAAUUCCUACUCUAGGGAAGGGAAAAAGGAAAAGAAAAUGGAAUUGAGUUCCUACGCUUUUCAAAGUACCAAGUUAUUGGUGUUUGUAGAUUUUUAGCCAUUGGAUUAAGAGAUAUACGGUUAGAAUGAUGUGGGCCCUCUAGGGUUGAGUGGGUGGUUGGUUGAAUAGUAUAAUCUAAUGGUCCCUAAAAUGAUCCGAGGAGUAGAUCUAACGGUAAAAAACUUACAAGCACCAAGUGCUUGGUGCUUUUACAAGCACCAUAGCUGGACUUAAGAAAAUGAUCACAAGCAUAUACAAUGUCACCCUUUUCAAAAAAAAAUAAUAAUGAUGAAAACCUACAUAUAAAGGCUAGUUUUGCGAAGAUACAACUUCAACAAUCGGCCAAUGGAAAGUCCAAAUGAAUAUUCUGAGUACCAACCUCAGUUACAAUUGUUUGCCGGUUCUCUCAGAUAUCACACUAAUAAUUACAAAACCCUAAAAAUCAAUGCAUCCACCUCCAAAAUGCAUAUACCACCACAAUCGUAAUGAUCAUACCGGCAUAAGCAAUCCAUUUGUCUACGUGAUGACGCCUCGCAAUAAGCUUUAAGACAGAAUUAGAUAGACCCACCGUAUUAAGGAUGUCCAACGCUUUCCUUUGUGCUCUCUGCAGACACGGAAAUCAGUAAUCAGUAAAGAAAAGAACAUCUAGUAGUCCAAGGAGAACUCGACGUUCAAACUUAUUUCGACACUUGGGUCUAUUUGGAUGCCACAACAUGUCAUCCAAUUGAGAUCUGGUGUAGUAUGGUGAUUUUUUGUUUUUCUUUUGUGAUCACCACUUACGAGUUACAUUCUUAACUAUCAUGAAAUAUUUGAUUCUUCCAUCUUUUCCACAUAGCAAGUACCACUUGUUUGUUGCCAUAUAGUGUGUCCACAUUGGCGGGUUAUGAUCUAACCCAAUCCAUAUAAGACGUGGAUUAUGAUUUAUUCUAUUAAGUUUAGGAUAAGAAUGAAUCAUAUGUUUCUUAUCAGUUAAGAAACGUAUCUACUAGUGGAUAUCUAUUAUAUGUUAAUAGAUAUCCUGAUCCUUAUCCUAAUCUAUAUGAGAUUCAGGAUAUUUAGGGGUUCCAUUAUUCUGUAUAUACGCCCCCUUUUCUCUCCGGAAAAGAGACGAUCGAAUACGAUCAAUAAGAACCCACGAAAUAUCUUCCUUAUUCUCUCUCUUCUUCCUCUCUGGGAUUUCCAUUUACGUUCCCGGGGUUUUGGAGUGUGAAUAUAGAAGAGGACUCUGGUAGCCCUUUUUGAUUAGCAUCCGUCGCAUUAGACCCGCAUCCGAUCCGUGGCGUAAGGCGUACACGUGGGAGAAGGCGAGAAACGUGGGAGAUCCAGAAGCAUCGAGACAAGAACAAUCCAAGAAGGCUUGUAAAACAAGCAAUCCGAUCCGAUUCGGGUUCCCGGAUACGUUGGCUAUCCGGUUUGUAAGUUUCCGCUGCCAUAUUAUUUCCAACAAUGUGAUUUAUCAUAUUAAUCAUUUAAAGGUAAGUUGUAUUAUACUGUGGUAGACAUUAGUACAACAACGCAUCAACCAAUUACCACAUGCUAGCUAAAGGAAAUGAAAGAAGCACAUUAAACAAGAUAUAAAUGCAUUCGAACAGGCCCUAUUUUUUCCACAUGGGACCAAACUUGCAAAUUGAUUAUAUUUGGUCUCGGAUAAGCUCAAGUCAAUUAAAUUCAUGCUGAUCUUUGAUUUUGAGAUUGUCUCAUACAAGUAGGUGGUGAUCAGUAAUUACCUUCAAGCGGUCCCUCUGGUCGGCAUACUUCGAUAGAAUAGCCACUCCAGUGGCAUAAGCUUCCUCAAGCAUUAUGGAGGAGUUUUGAGCUGAUUGCAUUGCUUGUGCUUCCUUAUCAAAUAUUCACAGGACGUGAGAGGAGUCCCCAUUCUGCAAUAACCAUGUUGAAUCCAUUCAUUGCUAUCAAUCAUACAUUUAACUCUAAUAUUCCAUUAAAACAGCAAGCCAAAUUAUCCUUAUUUCAUAGAGGACCAACAACUAUGCAGGGGGAAAAAAUAACUGAUAUUAAAACUGUCACGCCCCGCGACCUCCCACCUAUUUGGCCGGGUCGCGGCGCCACAAACAGACCGCCGAACGGACAGAGUUUUUCCUGUACGUCCUAGGCGUCGCAAUCAAUACAAUAAACGAAUGUUCCAACCAGGAAUCGAUAUCAAUCAAGAUUGCAUAGGGAAGUACCAACAACAUAACUCGACCUGCUAUUACAAACAUUCAUUUCAUACACUUGAUAAAUCACAUUGCGUUUUCUUUUACAUUGGUCUUCCAAAUACAAUCUGAGUUAUUACAUUUGGUUUACAAGUUUAAUACAUUUUAAUUCACUGUCCUCUAUUCCCCUAAGCUAGACUGUCUCAGGGUACUGCUACCUCGGUCUCUGUGGUAGGGCGCUAUCUACGAAGCUACGCCCUUUCCUCGCACCGCCGCGCCGCUCAUGUGUGAACUUGAAACACCCCAAAACAACGUGGGGUGAGAACCAACUCUAUGGUUCCGAGUGGGUACGGCCACCCAAGGGAAGAGCUCGACCAAUAGGUCCAAGGAGGCACUGUAAUCAUGUUAGUCCAAAAACAUCUAUCGAUAUAUCAUCAUGUUAUUAUGCAACUAACAGAUAGCAUGCCUCACAAAAUGCGAUAUGCAAAACCUAUAACCCAUGCAAGUAGUUUACUUGUUUCUACUACAUAUUAUUAGUCAUUUUUUAUAUGUAGCCGUUCUUUACUUAUUUAGCUAUUCUCAUUCAUUAGCUAUUCUUUACAUCAUUUUCUUGUUACAUUAUACUCAUUGGCGAUUCUUUAUUCUCUGACAUUCUUGAUUGUCGCCGUUCCUUCCUAAGGUUACUUUACCUUAGCCAAUUAUGCCACUCGACUCGGUCUUGAGUCAAUCAAUUGCGGAUAGUCCGCGCACUAUCUAGCUCGAGGUGAAGGAACUCUCACAUGCACCUCAGCUAACCACAGCCUACCGUACUCCUGUCCUAGCCGUCUGGCGGCGAACGCAUCGCACUUUACCCAACAACAGCCUAGGUCAUGACUUAGCCACCCGGCGGCGAAAUCGUGGCACUCGCCACGUCGAUGGUUCAGUCAACAGGCGGUAUGAUCCACUAACCGGCUAACCAUCCGGCGGCGAAAUCGUCGCACUCGCCACGACAAUGGUUCUAUAGCCCCUGGGCGGCGAAAUCGUCGCACACACCCCACACCCCUCUCGGUGUAUCCAUUAACUUUGGGAUUCUGGAAUCCAUUUCACAUCACAUAAGGGUUGGUCUUAUUCCUAUAGAAUUGACCUAUCUAGAUCCAAGCCUUUACUCAACCUAAGUUAAUACUUUAGGUUCGUCGCCUCCAUACUCAUAGCCUAGGUUUGUUAACUCUAGGUUCAUUACCUUUGCCCACCUAGAUUUAUGUGAUUCUUAAUCUCACAACCUAUGUUCUCUAACAUUAGGUUUAAUGCCAUUCCUAUUUAACCUAUGUUCAUCAACACUAGGUUCAUUAUUUCUCUUGUCCAACCUAUGUUUACUAACAUUAGGUUCAUGCCACAUUUGUUCAACCUAUGUUCUUGACACUAGGUUCAAUGCCACUCGAUCUAUAGGUGCAUUUAUAUCCAUAUACACAAGUCCUUUACUUAUCAUUCUCAACUUGUCAUUAGGCAUUAUCACUAGCAUGCUUUCUACUUUAUAUUAACAUGCAAUAACCCUUUAUCUCCUGUCUUUAGCUAACAUCAUUCUAAGCAUUUACUUAGCAUUCUUACACUGUAUCCAUAUACAAAAGGUGGUAGCUUAACAUAACAUUCAUUUUAUGCAUUCAUGUAUUCUAACACUAGCUACCACUAUGUGCAUCAAUGAUAGAUAUGUAUCUUAGACAUACAGGCGACCUAGUUGCUUCGGUAAACACAACCCACCUUAGCUAGCUUUCCGAUUGUUUGUCGACACUUGCAAUCGGCCUCCCGCGACACUCGGCACCCGAUUUGGCCCGAUCUCGCAGUUGCACUCCAAUAGCGCAUCGCUUCGCCGUUUCAAGAGUUAAAGGUCUUCUCCUUGCUAUUACGGCGCUCGGGACUCGAUCUCGCGAUUUAUGGACGUCGCAUCGACCUUCCAGGCGGAAACGAAGCUCCGGACGUCCGUUUCUUCAAUAUCUUUGCAACGGCUCGUCGGAUUGCCGAACCGACUUCGCCAACGUGUUUCGUUACCUAUCAAUUAGGUUAACAAAGGGUCAAAUGAGAUCAAACCCUCCCAAAUCACAAAACCCCAUUUUGGAUGCCCUAGAUGCUAUUACUACCAAAUCCACCAAAUUGAUCCAUGAUUUGGGCACAACACAUCCUAAUAGCAUGCUAGGGUACCAAAAAUACCAUUUCUAUGGUUCGAAAUCCCCUCCUUAAAGAUCUACCAUGAGAGGAGGCAAAGAGCUUACCUCUCUAAGAACUCCAAAGUGAGGAAGAAGAUGAAGAGGAGGAGGAAGAUCUCCUUCUUAGUCUUCUUCUCCUUCUUCUUCUCUUUCUUUCUUCUCUUUUCUUCUUCUUCUUUUCUUUUCUCUCUUUUCUUCUCUUUUCCUCCUUCACGUACAGAGAAAGAGAGAGGGAAAGACUGAGGGAGAGUGAGGGAGAGGGGAAGAGAGAAGGAAUCCCUCUCUUAAGCCCUCUAUUGUAACAAUAUGCUGAUAAGUCCCUCAACUUUUCACCCACUCACAUUGCCCUUACUGGGCAUUUUUCGCCUAGAGGGACCGGUCUCCCCGACCUGGGACCGGUCCCCGAGAGCUCCCCCCGAUAUCACGCAUUCGGGAACCGGUCUCUCCCUGAGAGACCGGUCCUUGGGAGACCGGUCUGCCCACCAGAGACCGGUCCCCGAGAGCUCGUCUUGUGGGACUUGGCCAAUUUUUGGCCAUUCUCACCGGUGUCGCCUGCGGGGACCGAUCCCUCCCUGCCAGGGAUCGGUUGCAUCAGCAACCCCGCAACCACUAGCCGAUGGGACCGAUCUCUCACUGCCAGAGACCGGUCCUCGAGAGCAAAACCUGCCAAAAGUGCAGAUUUGCAUCUUUUGCUCUCGCGGACUCUAUUCCAAUGCACUUCUUGGGUUUCGUGCAUGCUUAGCUUUUCCAAAGCUUACCAACUCGACCAUUAGUCGAUUCUGGACGAAGUGCAACUCUCGGAUUUCGAGAAUUCACAUUGUUACAAAAACUUCUUUUUUAUAUUCCAAAUCAAGGAAUUCUUACUGCUCUUUCCAGUAACUCUGCCCUUUCUUUAGCUUCGACCAUUCGCUUUUGUUGGCGCAUUAAAUGCUUAUCAAGGCUCUCCUUCAGUGAGUCAAUCUCUUCUACUAGUUGUUCCAGUUUUCUGUAAUGACAUAUAAUAUGUCAAGGAUUAGUCAUAAUUUGUAAAGAAUUAUCAAAUCUUUGUUGUUUCUGGUUAGAGCUUCUAAAAAGCCUCUAGCCCUGCAUUACAUAUUUAGGGAUCAGGAAGCUUAGAUAGUAAAGACUAUGGCAAUAAGGACAUAUGUUGUAUGCCAGGAAAAAAAAGAAAUAAUCCAUAAGCUCCAGCAAAGUACAGUUUAAUGCAAUAUGAAAGUCUACCAAGAAGGAAUGUUAUUUUCACAUUUAAUUUUGAGUUCGUCAAAAGGUGGAACAUGAUAAUGGGAGAACAAAGUAGGCAUAAGGAAUGUAACACAAAAUGUAAAAUAGUUUAUGCCAUGAUUUAGUGAUAGAUAAUGUAGAUUCAGGCUGCUUGCACUUUGUGAUUUUCAGGAGAGGACAACAGGCUAUAGAUGCUGCCAAUUAGAAUAUAACAGUGUCAACAUGCCCAAAAUAAUUUCCCCUAAUACAGAAUGCCUGUCACUACUGUUAGUAUGGCUUUAAUAAAGAUAAUCCAAAUAUAGGCAAAAGGAGAUAGACACAGUUGAGCACAUAUUAUUUGCAGUAUUUUAAAUAGUGGCCGCUAUGCCCGUCAUAGAGGCUGCUAUAGUGGUUUUUAGGUGUUACCGCUACGCUAUAAUAUGUAAAGCGGUAUAUAGCGGAUUGGAUUCAUAGCAGCCACUUUAGCGGCGUUGGUCUCGCUAAAGCCGCCGCUAUAAAGCGGUCGGAAAAUGGGAGCUAUAAGCCCAAACCUUUAAAAAGUGCACACGAGUUAAAACAGCUUAUCGGGUCGGAUCCUUAAAUGAAAUAUAAAGAUCAAACCCUGUUUCUAAGGGUUUGGAAGAUACAAAGGUGAUCCAUUUUUAAAAGGGAAUCAAAUAUCGUAUUCUCAACAAAAAGAGAAGCAGCGAUCUCUAGGGUUUCGAAGCUUCUAUGGGGACGCGAAGUAGAAGCGAACGCUAGCAACCAAGAGGGCCAACCGGCAACCAGUCUUUGACUAGAAGGGCUCACCGACGACCAUAAACAAUAUCUAACGACCACCGCAAAUCAUCAAGAUGAGAAAAAUCCAAUUCUGUAUGAAUAUUUCCUCUCUUUUCCUCUGUUUCUUUGCAUCUAGUGCUAAAUCAGCAUGUGCAUAGCGAGUGCAUGGCUUUUUUUUCAUCGCUCUCUCUCUCUCUCUUUCUCUCUCUCUUCUUGCCUCUCUUUUGGUCAUUUUUUUGGACUUGCUUUUUUUUAUUCUUUCUUGAUGGUCUCCCUGCUCACAGAAUAAGAGACCAAUAGUGAUGUUAGCUGCGCAUUUUACUUUCUAUUUACUUAGUACUUAGUACCAAAGCAUGCCAAGAAAAAUUUAGAUGUAUAUCGAAUCAUGCACGCUGAUCAUUAGGUGCGCAAUUUUCUAGUUUUAUUUGCAUACUGCUGCUCUAUAUUUAAAUUCAAUGGCUGACAUUGACUCUAUUAUGAAGCAGACACUUUCUAUUUUGCUCUUUAUCAUGUCAAAAAAAGCACAAGAUCCAGGUUGGGAACAUGCCUAUCCUCCAAUUGAGAAGGAUCGAACUCAAGUGAAGUGCAAGUAUUGUCAAAAUGAGUACAAUGGUGGGAUGAGUAGGUUUAAGAGGCACUUGGCCGGAAUUAGAGGGGAUGUUGCUCCUUGUGCGCAAGUUCCAGAAAAAGUAAAAGAAGAAAUGUCUAAACUUAUUGGAGUGAAGAGACAAAUGAAGGAGCACAAGGAAGAAGCUCUUAAGCAAUUAAGACGUGAGGUUAAUAUCACUGACAUGGAAAACUAUUCAGAUUAUGAAACAGGAGAAGUACUUUCUAAAAGAAGUUGUGUUGGGUCGAGCAAGAGUACACAGAAAGGACUCAUUGAUAGGUUUUGCAUCCCCACUCCUGAAGAAGCUUUGCGAAGGGGCAAGAAUGUUCAACCCACUAUAAAUGAGAAAUUGAAAGAGAAAGAAAGAGAAAGAACAAUUCAAUACAUUGCUCGGUGGUUUUAUGAAGUUGGAAUUCCUUUCAAUGCAGCCAGUCUUGAAAGUUUCAGUUUGAUGCUAGAAGCAAUUGGACAAUAUGGUCGGGGAUUGAAAGCUCCUACACCAUAUGAGCUUAGAGUACCUUUAUUGAAGAAAGAAGUAGAAGAGACAAAAGCAUUCUUGAAAACUCAUAGGGAUUGUUGGGAAGCACAUGGAUGCUCAAUCAUGACGGACGCUUGGACCGAUAAAAGAGGUUGGAAUUUUAUGAACUUGGUGGUAAAUUGUGAGUUGGGAAGUUCUUUUCUUAGAUCAAUUGAUUCUUCUUUGGAGGUUCAUGUUGGUCCUUUUAUAUUUAAGUUGGUUAGUUCUUGUAUUGAUGAGAUUGGAGAGGAAAAUGUGGUUCAAGUCAUCUCCAAUAAUGCAUCAGCAAACAUGGCGGCCGCAAACUUAUUAAGAGCCGAACGUCCUAAUAUCUUUUGGACUCCAUGUGCUGCUUAUUGCAUUGAUCUAAUGCUCGAAGAUAUUGGAAAGUUUAGACAAAUAAAAAAUACGAUUACUAAGGCAAGAAUGGUGACAGUUUUCUUGUAUGGGCAUAUGAUCACGCUCAGCAUGAUGAGGAAGUUCGCCCAAAAAAAGGAUUUGGUAAGGACUGGAGUUACUCGUUUUGCUACUGCUUUUCUAAGCUUGCAAAGCAUUAUGUUGAAGAGGAAUGAGCUACGGACGAUGUUCACCUCCAAGGAUUGGGAUGAAUGUAAAUGGUCCAAAAUGGAAGUAGGGAAGAGAAUCCAACAAAUUGUUUUGAGCAAUAAGUUCUGGAAUGGUGUGUCACUUACAUUAAAAGCAUUUGAGCCUUUGGUAUAUGUUCUUCAACGAGUUGAUGGUGAUAAGGUGCCAUCCAUAGCCUAUGUGUAUGGUGACCUGGAAAAUGCUAAAAAGGAAAUUGCUCUACACAUGGACAAUGAUAGGAAAAAAUAGUCCUGUUUGGAACAUUAUCGACUCAAGAUUUAAUGACAAGCUUAAGACUCCAUUACACAAGGUAGGCUACUUCUUGAAUCCCUUUUUUUACUAUGCCAAAAAAGAUGAAAUUGAUAGCAAUGCCAAAAAAGAUGAAAUUGAUAGCAAUGCAAGUAUCAUAGAUGGUGUGCUUGAGUGUCUAUUGAAAUUUUAUCCAAAUGAUCCAAGUAAGCAAGAUAAGAUACUUGCCAUUGUACAAAACUGCUUCGGGAUCAUUUGGGAGGGAAAUUGCGAUGAGACAAAGACAAAAGCAUAAAGUUACUUUUUUAAAAUAUUGCAGCCCAUUGGUGGAGUAUACAUGGGAUGGAUACUCCUUUCCUGUAGAUUAUGGCAAUGAGAAUCUUGAGCCUAACCUGUAGCUCCUCAGGCUGUGAAAGAAAUUGGAGCACCCGGUGGACCCUUCAUAGGUUCAGGUGAUACUUCUUCUGCAGCUGGAAUAUCAGUACCGUAUAAGUACAGGUGGGUACUUCGACCCAAAGUCGGUACAGUGGUGCACGCUCAGUGACGUUCUUUUCACCCCUUCCUUGUUGGUUAUAUUGCAUAUUAUAUACAUUGCAUAUUUUAUGUUAAGCUUAGCAUAUACAUUGCAUAUUUUAUGUUGAGCUUAGCACCUAUACCAUGUUUCCUUAUCGCUCUACUUAGUUGUUUGCAUAUCCAGUAUCAUGUUUUAGAAGUAGAGAGGUUUUGUGAUUACUUGUGAGAUAUAUGACCUGGUUGGUCAGUGCGUUGCAUCUGGUAUUAUGACCUGGUUGGUCGGUUCCCGUAUCACAUACCUGUGACUUAUUUGGUCGGCUUAUUGCAUCGUAUGGUGACCUACUUGGUCAAUUUGACUCCUUGGUGACCUAUUCGGUCAGUGUGUCCUGAGGGGUAGGAUUGUCAGCUGGUUGCCGACGGUUGGCUUUCGAGCAUUCAGCAUUGAUCGCCCUUACUUGUGCGCAUUUCACGAACACCAAAAGUCUGAUCCACCGUAAGAGGUGUUCUUUUUCGGAAAAGUGGUUGCAGGUGCCAACCCGUGAGCUCAUAGGCUAUUUUGGGUUAUAUGCAGAUAGAGUAGCAAUGGCACAGGCUUGAGGUUUGCGGUGCGAACCAACAGAGCAUUGGUUUCAGAUUGGGUAUUUUGGACUGGUCGUCCGGUUGAUGCAUACAUACAGUAGCUGUAAUGUUUCAUAUACAUCUCGUUUUAUUUGUUUAUCAUGGCUACUGUAUUACCACUAUCUAUACCUUGUUUGUUCUCCGUGACUGGUGAGUACCCCUCGCCUUCGUCGGCUUGCGGUACCCACUGGGAGGGGAGACAUAUGUACAUGUUCUCACCCCCCACCCCCAUUACAGGUGACGUCGCUGGUCUUAGUGGGACGGUUCGUAAGGAGCGCGUCUAGCGGUCGAUAGAGCCACCGUCCCGUCGUUUGGUAAAAUCUCUAACUCAGCUUCUUUAAAUAAAUGACUUAGACAACUAUUAUGGUUCAAUAUUUUUAUUACAUUUCAAUAUUUGGGAUUUCAUGAAUGUAAUAAAGAAUUUAUGAUUUUGUAAACUGAAAAUAGUUUUCUACCCCCUCGUGGUAGCGUGUUUUUAAAAAAGAAAUAGGUUUCCGUGUGGGAAACGAUUUUAAAAAUGGUUUUAUCGAUUUUCGUGAUUUAGUGUUUUAAAACGAGUUUCCGGAUAGGAAAUAUUUUAACCGAUAGUUGAGGAUUUAUGAUUGAAUCUGUCACGCCCCGGGGUCCCUUUUAAGUUUAAAAACGCAGCGAAAAGGUCUUUUUUUGUGAAAAACUGACCCUCGGGAUAUGCCAGAUCCGCCACAAAUAAAGGGAGUCCACUGUUCACACGGACAGAGUCUUCCCUGUAUUUACACGGCGUCGCACAAGUACAAGAGUAUAACCAGAAUACAACCACAACAAAUGAAUAUACAACAUCUAACCAUUUAUACAUUCAUACACCAUUCACCACAGAUUCACAUGUAGAGUUUGAAUAUAAAUCCACAACUAUCAGUUAAAAUGUUUCCUGCCGGAAACUGGUUUUGAAAUACUAAGUUACGAAAAAUCACGAAAAAACCUUUUAAAAACUGUUUCCCACACGAAAACUUUUUCCUUUUUAAAACACACUACCACGAGGGGUAGAAAACAUUUUCAUUUCAUAGAAAUUCACAAUUCUUUAUUUCAUUCAGAAAAUCAACUGAAAUCUUGAAUACUCAAACAUAAUGAAAUACUGAACCAUAUUAGCAGUCUAUGUUAUAUCAACAGAAAUAAAAGGAGGGGAACAACUAAACCGAACAAACCAGGUCGGAAGAUCUAUCGACCGCUGCGAACGUGCCUCACGUCUCGUCUAAACCUCACCGCCCGCAAUACCUGAAAAAUGGUGGGGGGGGGUGAGAACAUGUAAACAUGUCUCCCCUCCCAGUGGGUACUGCAAGCCGACGAAGGCGAGGAGUACUCACCGGAUCAGGAAGAGAUAAACAAGAUUAUGAGCAGAUAUAACAAAUACAAUAGCCAUAAACUGGAAGGAAGUAGAACAAUAACAGAAUAUAUAACUACUGCUACUGUAAAGAAGGACUGAAUGCAUACAUGGAUAUCAAAACUAUAGUAACAAGACAAGUAUAAAGAAAGAACUGUAAGUAUGCAUGCAACAACCGCUACUAUAGCCAUAUGCGUCAACCAGACGAAUAGUCAAAGUAUACCCAAUCAGAAACCUGGCCAUGUUGGUCCACACACCUCAGGCCUGUGCCACUGCCACUCUACAUACAUAUAACCCUAGCGUAAGCUCCUGAGUCUGAAAGGCAUAUGACCCUAGCAUAAAGCUCUUGGGCCUGAAAGCGUACAACCCUAGCAUAAAGCUCCUGGGCCUGAAAACAUACAAUCUUAGCAUAAAGCUCCUGGGCUCACGGGUUGGCACUCCCAACCACUUUUCCGGAAAAGAACACCCCCUUGAGGUGGCCAAACCGCUGGUGUUCGUGAAAUGCGUACGAGUAGUGGCGAUCAAUGCUAAUAUGCUCAAUAGCCAACCGUCGGCAACUAGCCGACAAUUACCGCCCCUCGGGACACACUGACUCAAAAGGUCAUCGAACUGUAAGAAACACAAGUACCACCACUCAGGUCAACUAGGAUGGAACUACUCAACAUCCUAUCGAAGAUAUGCAAGUGCUGAUUAAUAGGUCAAUUAAAGUAUAUACGCAAAAAUCGACCAAUAGAUUACAAAAGUGUAUCAAUAUAAUCCAGAACUACUGUUAGCCACUAGCCAACAAUCCUACCCCUCAGGGUACACCGACCUCAUAGGUCAUCAAACAAUAAAAGUCACAAAACCGAUCGACUAGGUCAUAUAAUGUCAAAUGACGGAUCUGUGUAAACUAUAAUCAUCCGUCGACACUAGCAGACAAUCCCACCCUUCAGGGUAUACCGACCUCAACGGUCAUCGAACGAUAGAAGUCAAGAAACCGACCGAAUGGUUACAGUACUAGAUAAUAGAACCGACCAACUAGAUCACGGAUCUCACAAUCAAUCAUAAACCAGCUCUACUUCUAUUCAUAAUACUAGACAUGCAAACAACCAAAUAAAGCACAACAAGAAUAGCAAAGGUGCUAGACUCAACAUAAUAUAUAUAUGCACAGGAUAGUAACAAGAGCAAGGGUAAGAAGAUAUCACCGAGCGUGCACUACUGUACCGACUUCGGAUCGAAGUACCCACCUAUAAGAAUGUCGCGCCUGUCUCCUGAUUGCGAAAGAACGUCAACCGGACCUAAGGAGGGUCCACCGGGUUAGUGUCUAACCCACAACUAAUAACCACUAAAUCCAAAACCCCACAAACAAUCCCACGGAGAUCGGUUUCCCAAACCGACUACCGUAACUCGUCGGGCAUCCCGAAAAUCGUAUCGGGACUCCGCCGGGACCCACAAACUGUCCCGGAACACACCGACUCGUACCACGAGUCACCCGCUGCCACUAAACACAUAUGCUUGUGUCACUUGGCAGCCAAAACACUAACUCACUCCGAAACGAUUAUCAUCGGAUAAUCAUUCCGAUCCGGGUUCCCGAAAGUGUCCAAUUCGACAACGGAACCCACCGUCGUUCACCCGUCGUCUUCGGACACUCAAAACGACGCGGGUGACCAGCCAAUAAGGCUCAGCGACAUCACAAAUCAUCACGGAGCACCGUCGGAAGAAUUUCGAAUCAAAAACGCGUUCCGUCGACAGAUUUCGCCGAAAAACGCACCGAAAAUCACUUUUCGAUUCCCGCAAAGGCUUGGGGCCUUGGACAAUCAGUCCAGAGGUUACCCACUGCCCACACAUGCUGCCAACAGUAGCCGCGACAAACCAAAAUGCAUAAAAGCCCUCCCGAUAGCAUGAAAUCACGUUAUUUCAUGCGAUUUCCGAGCUUUUAUGGUCCGAUCGUGCAAUCCGAUAACCUUUCUGCUCCGUCGAGACACCCUCGAGCGAGAUAAGGUUCACCUAGUGGCUCAUUGCUUCGAGGGGUCAGCUCAGUUAUGGUGGACUCAAGCGAAGAAAGGUCGCUCUUUGGAUCUUGCUUCCAUGACUUAGGAGGCGUUUCGGGAAUUACUACUUAUGGAGUAUUUUUCCAAAAGUGAUAAGCGGAAGAUCAAGGAGGACUUUCGCAAACUAAGGCAAGGAAAUCGAUCGGUGCGAGAGUAUGAAAGGGAGUUCUCGCACAUGGUUAACUGUGUUUCGGGCUUGGUUCACGGCGACCGAGACCGAGCGGAGGUCUUUGAGCACGGGUUGCGGCCGAAAAUAUUAAAAUUGUCCAGGCACUUCGGUUGAAGACCUAUGAGAACGUGUUGGAACACGCGUUAUGGGUAGAGCGCGGCAACGCCAUUGCCCGCGAGGAGCGCGAGGCAUUUGAAAGGGACAGGGACAAGGAGAAGUCCAAGAAGCGGGCGGCUAGCGGUUCCGCAGGGCAGUCGAGUUCUAAGCGGCCCCCUCGGUACCCAAAGUCACAGUGGCGGGGAGGCAGAAGCCAGUCGAGGAGUAAGACAACUUCCUUCCCGUGUGUGAUCUGCGGCGGAAAUCAUAGGCCCAGUGAUUAUUCCUAGCGUGACGGGAGGUGUUUUCGAUGCGGCCAAGCGGGACACAUGAGUUGGUAUUGCCAGGGCGGUGCAUCACCUGCCCUGUCAGCUGCUUCAGCUCAGUAUGCUCUAUGACAGCUUGCGGGACUGCCGCCUGCUAUGUCGGCUGGGCCCGCGUCAGCACCGUGUUAGUCGGAGGGAUCACGAGCACCGAGUGGACAGGUUUUCGCCACUCAGGUGGAGGAGCAGCCUGCCGUACCAGAUGACGUCGUGGCAAGUAUUAUUUUGAUUAAUGGCACUAGAGCUAAAGCUUUGUUCGAUACGGGUGCAUCACAUUCAUUCAUUGGUGCAUCGUUUGCUAAGACUCAUGGCAUGAAGAUAGUGCAUAAUCCGAUCUAUUGGUGGGUUAAUGCGCCUGAACAUUCGUUUAGAGUUCACGAGGAAUGCCUAGCCUGUCUAGUUCAGAUUGGCGAUUGGGUCAUGCCGGCGGAUUUGCUAGUGCUGAAACAGAUGUGGGGCUUUGAUGUAAUCUUGGGAGUCGAUUGGCUCUCCAAGUACUAUGCAAGCAUCGAUUGUGAAAGUAAGGUGAUCACUUUUCGUGAGCCUCAUCAGGAAGAAUUGGUAUAUCGUGCGUCUAAGAGCUCGCGCUUCGCGGCGACUGUGUCAGCGGCGAAGGCGAGGAAGAUUAUCAAAGGUGGAUGUGUGGCCCAUUUGGCGACCAUGAUAGAGACUCAGAAGGAGCACCCAGAGCUUGGGAAUAUCCGAGUUGCAUGUGAAUUUCUGGACGUGUUUCCGGCGGAGUUACCGGGAUUGCCACCGGAUCGGGAGAUCAAGUUCGACAUUGACUUGAUUCCCGGAGCGGCGCCAGACUCGACGGCUCCGUAUAGAAUGGCACCGGUGGAGCUUAAAGAGUUGAAGGCUCAAUUAAAGGACUUGCUCGAUAAAGGCUUUGUUAGGCCGAGCGUGUCACCGUGGGGAGCUCCGGGGCUGUUUGUGAAGAAGAAGGACGGUACACUUCGACUUUGCGUUGACUAUUGCGAGUUGAAUAAAAUGACGAUCAAGAACAAAUACCCGUUGUUGAGAAUAGAUGACCUGUUUGAUCAGUUGCAAGGGUCGCGGGUAUAUUCGAAGAUAGACCUUCAGUCGGGAUAUCGCCAGUUGAAGAUCCGGCCGAAAGAUGUGCACAAAACGGCGUACCGUACGCGAUAUGGCCGCUGUGAGUUUACGGUGAUGUCGUUUGGGCUUACUAAUGCCCCGGCAGCAUUUAUGGACUUGAUGAAUCGGGUCUUUCGAUCGUUAUUCGACAAGUGCAUUGUGGUGUUUAUCGACAACAUGUUAGCUUAUUCACGGAGUGAGGAAGAACACGAGGAACAUCUGAGAACCGUGUUGCAAAUACUCCAGAACGAGAAGCUUUACGCCAAGCUAAAGAAGUGUGAUUUUUGGCUUUCAGAGGUAACCUUCUUAGGCCAUGUGAUAUCCAGGAGUGAAGUCUCGGUAAAUCCAAGAAAGAUUGAGGUGAUAAAAGAUUGGCCUCGCCCGACGAGUGUGGCGGAAGUCUGCAGUUUCCUCGGAUUGGCGGGCUACUAUCGGCAUUUUGUGGAGGGAUUUGCAAAGUUGAAUACUCCUCUCACACGCCUUACGCGCAAGGGAGUAAAAUUUCUGUGGAGCGACGAUUGCGACCGAAGCUUCCAAGAGCUAAAAGAGAAGUUGACGUCGACCCCGGUACUUGCUUUGCCGACACUGGGCGAGAGCUUUGUGGUUUAUAGUGAUACUUCCUACACUGGUCUCGGGCGUGUUCUUAUGCAAAAUGGGCGAGUCAUUGCGUAUACUUCGCGCCAGUUGAAAAGCUAUGAGAAGAACUACCCGGUACAUGAUCUUGAGUUAGCGGCGGUCAUUUUCGCGCUAAAGUUAUAGAGGCACUAUCUCUACGGUGAGCAUUGUGAGGUAUAUACCGAUCACAAGAGCCUCAAGUACUUGUUCACCCAAAAAGAGUUGAAUAUGCGGCAGCGGCGGUGGUUAGAGUUGUUGAAGGAUUAUGACCUUACUAUCCUAUACUACCCUGGGAAGGCCAAUGUGGUUGCCGAUGCACUAAGCAGAAAAUCAGUUGAGAACUUGGCGAUGGCAAUUACUAGUCAACCGUUAUUGCAAAAAGAAAUGCAACGGUUUGGAUUGAAAGUAGUGGUGCCGGAGGUUCCGACCAUUUUGGUGACGCUAGUGGUUCGACCGACCUUAUUGGAGAGAAUUAAGGAACGGCAAGUUGAUGAUCCAUAUCUCCAGAAGGUGCGGAGUGAUGUUGAGGGCGGACGCGUCGGUGACUUUGGCGUGGGAUCCGAAGGUGCACUUCGGUUCAGGAACCGGUUGUGUGUGCCCAAGGACGAUGAAAUCUGCAAAGCGGUGUUGUAAGAAGCGCAUCAUUCCCCGUAUAGUAUACACCCGGGCGGCACUAAGAUGUACAAGGACCUGAAACUAUAUUAUUGGUGGCCGGGCAAGAAAAAAGAUAUUGGGGAUUUUGUGGCGCAGUGUUUGACGUGCCAACAAGUGAUGGCUGAGUGUCGAUUUUUCGCGGGAAGUUGCAAAGCUUACCAAUUUCCGUGUGGAAGUGGGAAGACAUAGCGAUGGACUUUGUGAUCGGAUUACCCCGAUCGCAAGUCGGACAUGAUGCGACAUGGGAGGUUGUGGACCAUUUGACAAAGUCGGCUCAUUUCUUGCCGAUCCACACCACGUGGUCCGGAGGCAAGUUAGCGCAAGUGUACUUGGAGAGGUAGUGACAUUGCAUGGAAACCCCAUUAUCGAUUGUGUCAGAUCGAGACCCCCGGUUCACUUCCCAUUUUUGGAAGAGCUUGCAGGAUGCUCUGGGCACGUGGCUCGAUUUCAUACGGCGUUUCAUCCUCAAAGUGAUGGCCAGUUGGAAAAGACAAUUCAGAUACUCGAGGAUAUGUUGCGAGCGUGUGUACUGGACUAUAAAGGUGGGUGGCACGAGUAUUUGUCGAUGGCGGAGUUCGCUUACAAUAACAGUUAUCAGGAAAGUAUAGCGAUGGCGCCAUUUGAGGCACUUUAUGGACGAAAGUGUCGCUCCCCUAUCCACUGGAGCGAGGUGGGUGAGAGAGUCACACUUGGUCCGGAUGUGGUGCGAGAGGCGGAAGAGAAAAUUUGUCUUGCCCGCCAACGAUUGUGGACGGCACAAUCGCGGCAACGAAGCUAUGCGAAUAAGCGCCGAAAGGAUUUGGAAUUCGCGGUUGGUGACCAUGUGUUUUCAAGGUAUCGCCUAUGCGCGGGGUGAAGCGGUUUGGCAUUCGGGGGAAGCUUAGUCCCUGAUACAUUGGACCAUACGAGAUUCUAGAGCGGAUUGGGCCGGUGGCGUACAAGUUAGCGUUACCGCCGAAGCUUGCGGGUGUGCACAACGUGUUCUAUGUAUCAAAUCUGCGCAAGUAUUUUCGUAACUCCUCACAUGUGAUGGAGUUUGAGCCGGUAGAGCUGCACGAAGAUGUCACUUAUGAAGAGUUUCCGGUGAGCAUUCUUGCUCGAGAGGAGCGGAAGCUACAAAAUCGGACUAUUCUGUACGUGAAAGUGCAAUGGAGUAAUCACUUGAGGCGUGAAUCCACGUGGGAACUCAAGGAGAAGAUGCGCGAGGUCUAUCCUCACUUGUUCGAUCAAGUGAGCUAAGGUACGUGUUAAGUUUCGCGGACGAAACUAUUUUUAAGGGGUGGAGAAUGUAACAUAUCGCAUCCCCGUGAAUCGUGCCGAGUUCCGUCGAAACGGGCGGAGCACGGAGUCGGAUGAGUUACAAUGGGUUCUAAGUGUUUUGGAACCUUGGUAUGGAGUAAAAGGACCCAAGAGAGCAAACCUGUAAAAAAUUGGCUAAGUCCUAGAAUUUGGACUCUCGGGGUCCUGUCCCUGCGGCGAGAGGCCGGUCCCGGUAAGCUAGAAAGCUACCUAGCGACUAAGUAUCAAGUUUUGAGCUCUCGGAGUCUAGUCUCUCUGGCCAAGGAUCGAUCCCCAUACGCGAGAUCUGCCGAAAUUGUGAAAAUUUGGCUAAGUCCCUAAAGUCAAGCUCACGGGGUCCGGUCCCUGCAGGGAGAGACCGGCCCCCAUAUGCGAAAAUUGCCCGAUGAGGGCUGAUGUGAAAUGGUGAAUUGUGAGGGGCUUAAGUGCAAGAAUGACAUGUUGAAUGGUUAUGUGGCUUAGGGCUUGGGUUAGGGUUCAUUUCCCUCAACCCAACACACAAGAGACUUCCCUCUCUCUCUCUAAAAACCUUCUCCUCUCUCUUCCUCUCUCUCUAGAGCUUGGAUAAGGAAGGUUUUGGAGGAGCAAGGCUUGGAGAAGAAGCUUCCCAAGGUGGUGGUUAGCUUGUGCUAGAGCUUUUGAAGGAAAAGCUUGGACUCUAGGUGAGUUUCAAUGGUUUUUGAGUUAGGGUUUGAGUAGUAGCUUCUAGUAAUGGCAUCUAGGGGCUUUUAUAGUGGUUUUCCCUAUGAUUCUUCAAGUCUAGGGACUUGAUUGGAAAAGAUGAUUUUGUAUAAGGGGCUAAUAUUAGGGUUUGGUUUAUAUAAGGUCUAAUCUUGGGAUUGAUCUCCUUCUACCCUAAUUGGUAGGUCAACGAACGCGUUGGUGCGCUCGGUUCGGCAAUCCGACGAGUGUACGCGGAGAAAUUCAAGAAAAAGGCUAAAUUGGUACAGAUUGCCGCAGCUUACGACGUAGGUGUCUAAAAAUCACGAAAUCAGGAUCGUGGCAUCCUAGCAUUCCUACAAGGUGGAGGGUGCUAUCCGAAAGCACUAAAUCUCCUUCUAUGUCUGUGUUACUUUAUUGAGCAUAUUGAUGUACUAUCAUUUAUGCAUAUAGGGUAGUGUGAUGUGUAUUUGGUUGAAAUUCAAUUAUAUGCUUAGAGAACAUAUGAAUUGACAAAGAACCAUGUGACUAUGAAUGUGAAGAACCCUAUGUGUAUGUGAAUGUAUGAAAGAGACUAUGACAAUAGUAAACAAAGGUGACAUUAACAUUAGUGACGAGAUUGGCACCGAGAAUGAGAACGGCUGAACAAGGUUUAACUUAGAGUGGCAUCAUGACCAUUGUGGCUCGGAUAUAGUGGUAUAUACAUGAUUAGGUAGCAACCUAUCACUGGUAUUGAGGCAUUGUGAAUUGAGACAAGUUUGGCUAUACUUCCUCAAAUUGAGGAAUGGAUCGUACUCACAUUGGUUCCGACUUGAGGGAGGUAGCUCCUCCUCAAGCGGUGUACUCCGGAGUGUGGACACCACGGGGAGAGUGCCCCGGCGAUGAUCCCCCCGGGAAGUGCCAAGCGCCUUCCCCGGUAGAUGGGAUAUGUGGUUUGUGAGUUUGGGGUAAACCAAGAGCACUCCAGGAUGAUUAGGUAAAGGCCAAAGAAAAUGAGAACAAGAACAUGCAUGCAUAAUUAUCUUGUACAUGACUAUCUAUCUGUUGAUAGCUUUCUUGCAGGCAUUGUAUUAAUAGCAUUAGUUGGUUUGUUAUCUACUUUUCUUUAUAUACAUAUGCCUGAAUAGACCUAGUGGGCGAGUAGGCGUGGUCGGCGGCCGAACCCACUUGGAACUUCGUUGUAGUUCUCAUACCACUAACCCUGUGUUGAUACCAAAAUUGAGCCGACCUAACCUACGUAUGAGCCAAUAAGGACACGUGGUACACCAGGAGUCGGCAAUAAGGCGCCUGAAGGACAAGAAGGCGGGAACGGUUGAAGAUUGGGGCGUAACUUCUAUGAGGAGUUAGCGUAACUUUCAUGAGGAGUUAGUAUAAUUUCCACGAUCAUGGUUACAACCACUCCCCCCAACUACUUUCAACCAACUAAUAAUGUGGGCUAUAAAUAGUAACUUUGAAGCCUGCAAUAGGGGUCUUCGCCCCUGCGCACAAAAGACCACCUUUAUUUUCCUGCAUCUUUCUUUCUCGCAUUUACUGCUUUUCCUAGGAGUAGUCUCUGUAACUUAGAUAUUUGGAGUCUGUCUGCCCCAUGAGCAUCACUCCCUUAUAGAAUAUAUUUGGAGUUUGUCUGCCCCACAGGCAUCACUCCCCUAUUCUUGUACUCUUCUAUUCCCUAUUCAAUAGAAAGUCACGUUCGGCUAUUCGGGCCGACCAGAUUUUAUGUUGUGCUAGCCAUUCGGCUCAUCUCCCGGCUUAAUUUUCGACUUUCCCCGCACAUUCGGCUCAUCCAGCCGAACCGGAGAGUGAAAAGAGCUUUCGGACCUGGCUGAUUCGAUCCCUCAUCAGCCAAAUCGCUUGAUCCAGUCGAAGGGCGCAAACUUCGAGGGUCACUAUCCGCAGCCGUUCCUCACCCCAACACGCUCCACGAGGAGGAUCUUUGACCGGGUCAAAAGUCGGGAAAUUCGGCUACCAACAAAUUUUGGCAGCCCGGUGGGAUUCUAUUUUUAAGAUUAUAGCUGAUGAUAACGCCAUAAAUCUACGUAAUAGGGCCAUUCCUAGAAUUUCUGAAAGUAAUCAACCUAGUGAUUCAGACAAUGCUGGCGAAUGUCAAGCAGUUUUGCCAGUUAAAGGAGAAACUAUUGGAUAGUCGGCUCAUCAAGAGCCGAGUCUAACUCAGGCACUUGACCAGAUGAGCCGAGUCCUGCAAACUUUAGAUCAAAAUAUCCAUCAAAGUACCGCUCGACUAGACGCGGUGCUGACCGCUAUCACAGCCUAUAAUGAAAAUAUUGGUCGAAUCAGACAAUUAUUUACACGAAACGUGCAACCUUAUGGGGGGGCAACAAGGGCCCCUAAAUGUGCCGGUGCAACAAAAUCCCGUCACGCCGGCGGUCUCACAGGCGCAACCGCAAAUGGCACAUUUCCAGGUUGCUUACAGGCCGGCGAAUAUAAACGCCGCCCCUCAGUCGGAGAUUGCAUCGAGUUUACCUCCUUUACUAGCUUAUCAGCCCCAAAAUGUAGGGAUUAGGGCUGGGGGGUAGGCCCCUAAUGAUAUGCAAGGAGCGAACCCUGCAAUACAGAAUUCUGGAGUUCCUCAAGGGCCAAAUUCGGCUCAAGCACAAGCUCCGCUGUAUGCUCAGAUUGAGGAAGUCAUUCGAAAUACCUUCGGAGUAGGGGCCAGGCCGGCUAUGCGGCCUGUUUUUCGAUCCCCGUAUCCAGCAAACAUAGAUACAGAGCAUCCGUAUCCGGCAAACUGGAAAAUGCCGAAGUUCGACAAGUUCUCGGGCGAUGAGACCGAGAAUACGGUAGAGCAUAUAGCCCGGUUCACGGCCCAAUGUAGAGAAGCGGCCGCUAACUCAUUUUUGAAACUUCAAUUAUUUAACACGUUGUUAACUAAAACGACGUUUACUUGGUAUACAAGUUUAUCAGCCAAUUCCGUCCAAGAUUGGGACGAAUUGGAAAGAAAAUUUCAUGAGCGAUUCUAUAGAUCAGAGCCACAAUUAUCGGUCGCCGACUUGGCUUUAUACCGACAAAUGUCAGGUGAAACGGUCGAAGAGUAUUUGGACCGUUUCAAAAUAGCCAAAACCUGGUGCUUUAUGAGAAUGCCGGAAUCAGAGUUCGCCAAAAUGGCGUUAAAUGGUCUGCAUUUUAAGAUAAAAGACCAUUUUGAAGAUAAGUAUUUUUCUAACCUAUUUGAUCUAGGUGUUCGAGUUGCCCAAUACGAGCAAUUUCAGAAGAAAAGUGAGGACGAUCGGCUGCAAUGGAGCCGAUAUAAAAAUCAAAGCAAAGGCAAGGAGAAAUCCUUGCUAGAAGAACAGUCGGUUCAAGAAGAGCCGAGCCAAUCGAGUGAAAGUGAAGAAUCGGCUGAUGAAGCCGAGAUAUAGCCACUUUCUUUAAGAAGAAUUUCUUGAUAGAAAAACAUUCGGUUCAAGAAGAGCCGAACUAAUCGAAUAAAAGUAAAGAAUCGGCUGAUGAAGCCGAGAUAUAUGUGGCUGGGAUGAUAAAGCGCCGUUUUCCUAAAGCCGACCAAGACCAGCGAAACUAAAGCUUGGGUCUCGGCUGUGCUUUUGAACAGUCGAUUUGGCACCAAUAGUCAUCCGAAUGUUCAUUCGAAAGACUAUUGGGGGGGCAUUGUUGAUACCAAAAUUGAGCCGACCUAAUCCACGUAUGAGCCAAUAAGGACACGAUGUAAGGAAGUGAAUUCUCGAAAUCCGAGGAUUCGACUUCGCUUAGAAUCGACUAUUUGUCGAGUGUAUAAGCUUCGGAAAGUCCGAAGGUGAUUAUAAUGCAUAAAGUGCAUUAAGGAAAGGUCCGCGAGAGCAGCAGAGCAAAUUUGCACUGAAGCAUAAUUGCUCUCGGGGACCGGUCCCUGGCAGGGAGGGACCGGUCCAUCAGGCUGGGCUUGCGGGGAUCCGUGAUGCAACCGGUCCCUGGCAGGGGAGGACCGGUCCCCGAACGUUAACCCAGCGAAAAGUCCCGAAAUUUGGCUAAGUCCCGAAAACCCAACUCUCGGGAACCGGUCUCUCGGACAAGAACCGGUCUCCCGGAGACCGGUAUCUUAGGCAGGAACCGGUUCCCGAACGUGAAACUCCCUCUGCCUGAGAUGGAAGGCUCUCGGCGAUCGGUCUCCCCGACCUGGGACCGGUCCCUCACUGCGAAAAUGCCCAGUGAGGGCUACUGCAGAGGAUGGAAAGUUGAGGGGGCUAUUUGCAAAAUGGCCUAUAUGAGAGGUGGGGGACCCCUCUCUUCCUCUCAUUUGCUCUCUCUCCCUUUCACACUCUUUCCCUCUCUCUCUCUAGAACGAAAGGAAAAGAGAAUGGAAAGAGAAGAAGGAAAAGAAGGAAAAGAAGAAGAAGAGGAAGGAGAAGACCAAGAAGAAGAGGAAGAUCAUCUUCUUCCCUCUUUCCUUCAAGCUAGAGCAAACUUGGGGCUUGGCAUAGAGGUAAGCUUCAAACCCAUCCAUGGUGGAUUUCUUGAGAUUGGAUUUUAUUGCUUAGAAAUGGUUUGAAUGGAACCUAUUGAAGCUAGGGUGAUGGUUCGAGCUCGCAUUCAAAGCUCGCACCACGGAUUUCCCCAUCGUUGCCAACCUAGGGCACGAAUUCGGGAUUUUUGGAAAUCUAGGGUUUUGAUCCAUUUUAAUAGGUCGUAAACCUAAUUGCUAGGUCUCGGAACGCGUCGGCGAAGACGGUUCGUCGAUACGACGAGCGGGUGCGAAGAUAUCUCCGAAUCAAGCGCUUAAGGGUUCGGAUCGACCUGAGAAGUCGAAGCGUCGACCAAGGACUGCGAGAUCGAGUUUUCUACCAUCGCGGCAUCACCAAGAGGUGGGUGGUAACCAUCCCGAAACAAUCGGGCUCCCUCUUAUGUCUUAGUAUUUUGAGACCAUGCAUCUUGUGUUCACAUGCAUUGUAGGAUAAUUGUGCAUUGCCUUUCCUUAUGCUUUCCUAUCUGAUACCAUAUUAUGUAUUGGUUGCUCGAUAUAGUGGAUCGAUGAGGAUUGGGUCAAGACUUGUAAUUCUAUAGUGCAGCAAUAAAAGAAUGACGAAAGGGUUGAAAUAAAAGAACCAGUGGCAUCUAGUUGUUAAUUAAACAAAGAACGAGUGGCAUAUGUGAGUCGUAGCGUAUAUGAAACCCAUUGACUAUGGUGGUAGUAGCCCUAGAGGAUAGGGUACCCUUGAGGUGGGAGAAUUGGAUCAUACUCAUUGUCUGUUCCCGACUUGUGGUGGUCGCUCCACACAAGUAGUGCGCUCCGGAGUCAGUCACGAGGGAUGGCCUAUUUGGGGUCCCGUGGGAUAGGGAUGGCCUAUUUGGGGUCCCGAGGGAUGGCCUAUGUGGGGUCCCGCAGACAGUCUCGGAUUCGUAGUUAUCGAGAUGGCUAUGUGAGUAGUGGGCGAAUCCUUGAAUGAGCCACGAGAUUAAUGAACAAGUAAAUAGCCUUACUUCUUGGACAUAUGAAGAGCUAGUUGAUUAUCCAUUUCAUUGUGCAUGCAUUCUUCAUAUACAUGAUUCGGGUACAGUAGUAUAGCUUUACUAUUCCGUUUUCAUAGCUCUUCAUAUCUAUCUAUCUGUUUAUCUACUUGUGCCCACUUAGACCUAGUGUGGAGACUGGCGGAGUCGACGGCCGAACCCAUUGGGAACUAUGGAAGAUAGUUCUCACCCCACCUUUUUCAGGUCCGAGUUCGAGUGUCCCCGGCGAGCGCGAGGAUCGUGGCAAGGGCGUAGCGCCCUAGUGAUAUACGUACAUAGCUAGCUUACUUCCCUUUUGCAUUAGCUCUACCCUGUAUCUAUGUUUGAGAGUAGAUGAUGUAUAGGGUGAGGUUUUGGAGAGUGAUUGUAUAUGUAUAUAUUUUGGAAGUCUGUAAAGGAUGAAAUAAUUGUAAAAGUCAAAUGAGUUUAAUAGUUAAUACAUCUCUCUCUUAUCACUUGUAUGCCUUACUUGUGUUGCUUGCUCUUGGUUGUUAAGCACUGUUUGUGCUCCGUCGUUAUUGUUAGAUCAUGUAUUUAGACAAGUCUGUUUCCUGGGGACUUGUGUACAUGAUCUCGUGGGGUGAGCCUUGGGCGGACAGGGGAUUUGCUGUCUGUUCGGCGGUCCGUUCGCCGCGCCGGAACCGGACCAAAUCGGUAGCGGCCUCGGGGCGGGGGCGUGACACGUGGUACACCAGGAGUCGGCAAUAAGACACCUGAAGGACAAGAAGGCGGGAACGGUUGAAGAUUGGGGCGUAACUUCCAUGAGGAGUUAGCGUAUUCCAUGAGGAGUUAGUAUAACUUUCACGAUCAUAAUUACAACCACUCCCCCCAACUACUUUCAACCAACUAAUAAUAUGGGCUAUAAAUAGUAACUUUGAAGCCUGCAAUAGGGGUCUUCGCCCCUGCGCACAAAAGACCACCUUUAUUUUCCUGCAUCUUUCUUUCUCGCAUUUACUGUUUUUCCUAGGAGUAGUCCCUGUAACUUAGAUAUUUGGAGUCUGUCUGCCCCAUGGGCAUCACUCCCUUGUAGAAUAUAUUUGGAGUCUGUCUGCCCCACGGGCAUCACUCCCAUGUUCUUGUACUCUUCCAUUCCUUAUUCAAUAGAAAGUCACGUUCGGCUAUUCUGGCCGACCAGAUUUUGUGUUGUGCUAGCCAUUCGACUCAUCUCCUGGCUUAAUUUCCGACUUUCCCAGCACAUUCGGCUCAUCCAGCCGAACCGGAGAGUGAAAAGAGCUUUCAGGCCCGGCUGAUUCGAUCCCUCAUCAGUCGAAUCGCUUGAUCCAGUCGAAGGGCGCGAACUUCGAGGGUCACUAUCCGCAGCCGUUCCUCACCCCGACACGCUCCACGGGGAGGAUCUUUGACCGGGUCAAAGGCUGGGAAAUUCGGCUACCAACACCCUGCAGAUCCAUGCGCGAGUGGGGCGGAGAAGGAUUGAGGUAAGGGAUUAGCGCCGUAGUUAGCGGCCUUCGGAGUUAUCGGCAUACCCUAUAUGUACAUUCAACUUUUGUAUGUUGAACUAAGGAAUGUAAAUAAUAUAAACCUUAUAUUUUGGUUAAAGGACAAUGUGAUGUAAAUGAAUGGAAAGGAAAAGAAUGAAUGUAAUAGUUUACUUGUAUUUGAUUUAAAUGAAAUCAAAUGACAUGUAUGUGGUUGUAUGUUUAGUGUUGUAGCAUAGAUGCUUUCACUAUUAUGGUUGUUGCUUGCCCUCGAGCAAGCCUUGUAUAAUUGUAAUCUCUUGUUUGAUUUGCUUGUAUUAUACAUGUUGUUAGAGCCUUGGGCGGACAGGGGAGGUGCUGUCCGUUCGGUGUCUGUCGGCGUGCCCGAAUCGACCAAAUUGGCGGCCUCGGGGCGUGACACCAAGUUGUCAUGCAUCAAAAGUGGAGUUUUGCACGCAAGUCCCGCCUUAUUCCAAUUUUUCAUGACGAGGCUUCCACAUGAGGUGUAAAUCGCAUAGAACCCCUCCACAACCAGCCCCAUUUAGAUCCAUAUAUAAAAUAAUAGGUUUUUCCUCCCGAGACCCAAGCUGUGCAUCACCAAUUUAUCAAAAAUCUGCCAAUUUUCCACACUCGGGUUGCCGAAUCCAAAAUCUGACUUCACUAUGACUCCCGGCACUGCCAGACCAUUGAAAACGACCUAUUGAAUCGAUCAAAACAGUGUCUGCUUCACAUCUGAAGCCAAAGUUACGCGUUCAUCCAAAAUCGAAAAGCCAAUUAUUAUUUACUUAAGUGAAAACUAGAAAUCGCGUAAACAGCUUCAUUUUAAUUCGUUUUGCCCCGAAACUUGACGAGUGCUUUUGUAAUUAAAAUACACACAAAAACAUCGUCAACAGAGAGUUCAACUACACUGCGAAAUUCUCAGUCCUUACACGCCCCAGAUCCAAAUGCUCAGAUUCGAAUUGCAACAAUCGGCCACGAAUUCAGAGGAAGAACCUCCGAAAAACGAAAGGCCUUAAAUUGAUCCAAAGCCACUAUCUCAGUUAAAGACUAAAUAAUUUAUUAAUUAAAACAAAACUAAACAAUAACUACUAGAUGUCCAAUUAAUCAACCUCAAAUCAAAAUAAAUCAUAUGUCCAAAAUUUAAAAUUUAUCUAACGAGUUCUCGCCGGCCAAUUAUGUCACGCCCCGACACCCGCCUAUUUGGUCAGAUUCGGGGACGCCAACAAACCGCUGAACUGACAGAGUUUUUUCUGUACGUCCUAGGCGUCGCAAUCAAUACAAUACAAGAGCUUCCAACUAGGAACAAUAUUCAAACAAAGAUUGCAUAAGGAAGUAUCAACAACAUAAAACAACUAGCUAUUACAAGCAUUCACAUAAAUGCAUUGUACACCACUUUUACAAUUUGCUUUCAUCCAAAUACAAUCUAAGUUAAUACAAAUUUAUUACAAUUUUGGUUCCUUCAUUUCCUUUCCAACCCUAAGCUAGACCAACUCAGGGUACUGCUAUCUCUGGUCACUGGGGUAGGGCACUAUCUACGGAGUUACGCCCUUUCCUCGCGCCGCCGCGCCGCUCACGUGUGAACCUAUACCCCCAAAAACAACACCGGGGUGAGAACUAUUGUCCAUAGUUCCCGGUGGGUACAGCCACCCAAGGAAAAAGCUUGACCCACCAGAUCCGAAGGAGGCACUACAAUAUGUUAGUCCAACAAAUAUCCACAGAUAUAUAUAAUCAUAUGAUUUAUGCAACUAACAUCAUCAUGUUCAUGCCUCAUAAUAUGCAAUAUGAAAAUCAUGCAAUUUUAUGCAACUAUGCAACCAAUUAGUAGAUCCAUUGAUUCUACAUUCAAUUCUGCUAAUCUUAGCUCAUGUAAUCUAGCUUCUAAGGUUUCUACUUCCAUAGGUUCACAACUCAAAUCCAACUUGCUUCUAAGAUCUCUAUUACUUUAGCUCUUGCCAUUUAUCACUAGCUUUUAAGGUUUCUACCACCUUAACCAAGCUAUCCACCCGACUCGGCCUCGAGUCAAUCAUCUGCGGACUAUCGAGCACUAGCUGCUCAACAGCCCACCUCACUCCGUGACUAAGCUACCGGGCGGCGAAAUCGUCGCACACGCCCAACACUGGCUCAAGUCACCUGGCCAUAAUCCACAAACCGGCUUAACUAUCUAGCGGCGAAAUCGUCGCACACGCCGAACAAUGGUUUAGCCCCGGGCGGCGAAAUCGUCGCACACGCCCAAUACCUCCUUUCGGUGUUCCAUAAGUCUUGGGAUUUCGGAAUCCAUUUCCACAUCUCAAGGCUAGUCAUACACCCUAUGCUGUUGAUAGGGGUGGAAACGAGCCGAGCUCGAGCGAGCUUACCUCGGCUCAAAUUCGGCUUGAAAUUAAUUUCGAGCCUAAAUUUAAGCUCAAGCUUGGAUUGAAAUUAAUUCGAGCCGAGCUCGAGCGAGCCUAAUUUCAAGUCGAGCGAGCUCAAAAAAAUAAUUUAUGGUCUGAAAUAUCUAGAUUCUUUAGCCUCAUAUUUCUUCUCUUUCCCCUUCAAUCUCUAUAUUAUUCAUUUUCGUUAUGCGGUCAAAAAUAAAAUAAAUAAUAGAUAAAUAUUGGAUUAAACUAUCCAAUCAUAUAUAACUAAAAUAAAAUUUUAUAUAGAUAAUAAUUUUUAUUUUAAAUAUAUCUGUAUAUUUUCUCAAGCAUACAAUUAAUAGCAAGGUAGGCAACGACGGCAUAUGUUGUUAGCUUGUAACUUGGAGGCUCUGGCUUGGCCACUUAUGUGAGAGACAAAAUAAGAGAGAGAAACAUAUAAAAAAUUUAGAAGCUUUGUGAAAAAAAAGAAGAAAAGGAAAAAUGUAAAAAUUUAGUAAAAUUGAUCUUUAUUUGUCUAUUGGUUUGUUUUUAUGGCCCAACAACAUUGCCCAAUUUUAACUAAACUAAGAUUAAUUCACUCAGCCUAUAUAUAAUUAAAAUAUAUUAUAUAUUUAUAUAUUUUUUUAAUAUAUAUAUAUAUAUAUAUAUAUAUAGUAUAUAUAUAUAUAUAUAAUGAGUCCGCUAUAUCUAUCGUAGGACGAGCGCUCUGUGCUACCAAGUUGUUUCGAUGAUGCGGCUUCCAAAUCGACGAUCGCUCCGUUAGACUUGAUCUAUACUAUUGAAAGUAUUGUGAAACUAAAUUUCAAAUUUUUUCGACAUUCAUUUGACUAUGAUCAAAAGAUCUCAAAAUUGACAAUUUUAAUGGCCGAUGUGGUGUGUUUGUGAGUUUAACGGUGUAAAACAAUUCAAAUGCGAUGAAAAUUUUAUAGAAAAUUCUUUUCACAUAUUUUAGAGUAAGAUCAGUAUAUCUGAUCUUGAAUUAAAUCUUUUGUCAUUUUUUUAUGAGAUUUUUAUUUUUAGCCGUUCAAUUUUAGACUACUUGUUUAUAGGUAAAUGAUAUCGAAAUUAUGAAAAUUUAGUUUCUAAUACUUUCAAAUAGUGUAGAUCAACUCUAACGGAGCCGAAUCGUCGAUUUGGAAGCGCAUCAUCGAAAACAACUUGGUAGCACGGAGCGCUCCGUGCUACCUGAUAGUAUAGUAGCCUAGCUCUAUAUAUAUAUAUAAUAUAUAUAUAUAUAUAUAUAUAUAUAUAAUAAAUCUACAUGCUAUCGAAAAUAUAGAGGAUUGAUGUUUUUCGAAUUUUGGCCCUUGAUUAAGAAUUGUAUGUUGGAUGAUUGCGGUCCCCCUAAAGAUUAAAUAAUACCCUCCCAUAAUAAAUUAAGAUCCCCCCUGGCGUUAGUAGGGUUGGUAUGUUAAGAAUUAGUUUCCCGGUUUUUAAGCUUUUGUAGUUUAGGAGAUAUAAAAGCUAUCGUAUCAUCAAGUAUAUAUAUAUAUAUAUAUAUAUAUAUCCUAGGAUUGAGUGGUCCCUACAAGGUAAUAAUAGUAUUAAUUCAAAGAUAAGAAAUGAUUAAAGGGGUUGAUCUAAGAAUCAAAAAAUCGAAAACACCAAAUCCUCUAUACUUUCGAUAGCAUAGUAGCUCUACUAUAUAUAUAUAUAUAGAGUUGUGCUCCUAUACUAUCUGUAACAUAUCACUUCCCCGUGAGUCGUGCCGGGUUCCGUCGAAAUGAGCAGAACGCGGAAAGGAAUGGACUACUUGUGUUUGGUUCAAAUGAAAUCAAAUAACAUGUAAUGGAUGUUUCGUUAGUUUCGAUGCUUUCACUUGUGUUGUUGUUUGCCCUCGUGCAAACCUUGUAUAUUCCACAAUUCUCUUUUGACUUGCUUGUAAUAUACUUGUUGUUGGAGCCUUGGGCGGACAGGGGAGGUACUGUCCGUUCGGCAUCUGUCAUGUGCUCGAAUCCGACCAAAAUGGCGGAGCUCGGGGCGUGACACUAUCAAUAGUAUAGAGACUCCUAUACUAUAGUGUUUUAAACCAUUGGAUCAUCUUUGAGAUUCGUGCACAGAUUUGAAGUUUUAAAUGAGAUGAGGAGGGAUGGAGCAACUUAACACCGUUAACAAAGAAAUAAAAUAGGAGAGAGAAUCCCAUUUCAUACCACUCUCUCUCUCUUUCUCUCUUUCUCUCUCUCUCGAAAUCCCAACCUGAAACCUCUCUUUCUCUUUCUCUUUCUCUCUCUCUCCACCCCAACAUCUCUCUCUCUCUCUUUCUUUCCCAUUUCUCCCAGAGGAACUCAUCUCCCACCAUCUCUAGCUCUCCCUCCCUCACCCCGCUCCUCCCCCCCGCCCCCACCUGCCGGCCCCACACGCCGGCGCAGCUUGUGGACGCUCCAACCCUAGCGGCGUGCGACACUGCUCCGCAAAGCCCUCCAAACCCACCUGCGGACAUUGCCUGGACGCCGCGGCGACGUUGCUCCCCGACACCCUCCAAAUCCAAGGGCACCUCAUGGACCACAACAACAACAAAAAUCAUGAGCAGGUUAAUUUAAUCCCUAGUUAACUAAAAUAUUUUUUUUCUUUAUAUUAAAUGGUUGAUAGGAAAUUAUUUAUUUCUUAAGUUAUAGAUUCAUAUUUUGUUGAUAGGAAAUUAGUUACAAGUGUUUAUUUUUUGGGAAAACUUCAAAAACCCCCCCUGUGGUUUCGUGCAUUCUCACUUUGCUACCCUGUGGUUUAAAACGUAUCAAUUUACCCCCCUGUGGUUUCAUUUUUAUCUUUUCGGAAGCUUUUUCGUUAAUAUUUCGUUAAAUUAUAUACAAAAAACUUCAGAUAACCAUCUAUAUUUAUCGAAUAGUCACUUUAGUAUCCUUUAAUUUUAACUUUGUCACUGAUUUUAAAAAAUAAUAAUAAUAAAAUUGAUAACAAAAAGAUAAAAACGAAACCACAGGGGGGCAAAUUGAUACGUUUUAAACCACAGGGUAGCAAAGUGAGAAUGCACGAAACCACAGGGGGGGUUUUUGAAGUUUUCCCUUAUUUUUUUCUCUUUUAUGAUUUUAUUGCAAGUAAAUAAAUAGAAAAUUUCUUACAUUUUUUGGGGAUAAAAAUUUAUUCUCUGUACAUUUUAUCUUUAUGGUACUUUUUUAAAAAGUAAAACAAAAAAAUUUUAAGAAAUCAUAUGAGAUGAUUAUAAUAAUUAAAUAUAUAAACUUCUAGCUAACUAUUUAUAACUUACUUUUAUAUUCCUGUUUUAUGAUGUUUAAUGUUAUAGAUGGAAUAUAUACUUUUCAAUCUGAAAAUAUUAGAAGAAACAAUGAGAAUAUGAAUUCAGAUGGUUGAUCUAUAUUGUCAAAGCAAUGCUCCAGAAAAUAUUAGUGAUGAUUUUGAUGCCGAUUUUAGAUAAACAUGAGAACCAAACAGUUUAUGGCAAGAUAGGGAUGCAAUGGAAGUUGUAAGUGAAGACCCUAUAUGGUAAAGAAUUUAACAGUGCUGAGGAACGGCACUACGUUUUUAUAACUCAUAUGCAUUUCGACUCGGAUUUAGCAUAAGAAAGGCUAUUCAAUAUAAGCAAGGAAACAAGAUGAAUGAUGACAAGUAUGCUCUUGACUUGUUCAAAAAGAGGUGUCAAUCUAAAGUCCGAGACAAUGACAAGCGUAGUAUUACAACUACAAGCCAAGGCAAGUCACACCGUUACAGGCGGCAAAUUUCAUAAUAACACAAACGAUCAGGCAUGUAGAAGCCUUAUGAGAGUAAAGAUGAUAAAAGAAAUAAAGUGGGUGUGUACUAAGAUCUUAUAGAAGAGCAUCAACAUGAUCUUAAUGGCAAGCCCCCAACGAAAACAAGUUUCGCUUCGUUCUCAUCGUCUAUAUCUUCGAAUGAAGCAAUAAAACAAGUUAUACACUGUUAAUGAGAUAAAAUUAUUUCAACAAGUCAAAUUAUUCUUACAUAGCAGCAAGAGAUGGGGGAUCGCAAAUAUCAUUUUGCUAUAAAGAAUUUAAUGUAAUGAGAUUGUGUCAACAAAUAGGGACUUGUUGGAGUUAUGUUGCAAAUGGCUCUCAAUUAUCUUCGUGCAACUCAUGCCUCUGAUCCUUCAUUUUUUUACUCAAUUGAGGUUGACGAGAUAAUCAUAUGACGAAAAAUAUAUUUUGGAAUUGAUGGGAGAUCCGAGAUUGGCAUACCAACUUUUAAUGAUGUUGUGACAUUGAUACAACUUAUAUGACAAACAAAGUAUAACAAUGCCAUUUGCUCCAUUUGUUGGUGUUAAUCAUCAUAGACAAUCAAUCUUUCUUGAUUGGCCUCUUAAGGGAUAAACUACCGAUACUUUUUUUGGUUGUUUCAUACAUGGUUACAGGCAAUGUCGGAGUGCAUCCAAAAGCAAUUAUUACAGACCAAUGAUCCGGCAAUGAGAAAAAGCAAUUGGUCAAGAUUUUUUCCAAUACUGUGCAUAGAUGUUGUCAAUGGCAUGUAUAGAAAUGGCAAGAGACAUUUGGAGUGUUGAUAUAACAAAAAGGAAGGUUUCAAGAAUGAAGCUAAAAUCAUCGUAUUAAUUAUAGCUUGACAACAGAAGAAUUUGAAAUUAGGUGAAUGAGAUGCUCGAUAAAUAUGACUUGCAUAUGUGACAACCACCUUCAAUUAUUAUGGAAUACUGCGGCAUCAAUGGGCUCACUGUUAUUUUUUAGGGACACUUUUUUGCCGAUAUGUCUACUUUCACCAACGGAGUGAGAGUGCAAAUUAUGGUUGAAAAUGUUUGGUGAUUCGCAUACAUCAAAUCUAUAGAUUUGUACAACAAUUGACAAAAUAAUUCGAAGUCGAUACAGAAAGAAGAAGAGGAGGAAUUCAAAACAACGAUGAGAGUCAUCUUUAUGGUCAUUAAUCCCAAUAGAGAAACAAGACAGCGAGAUCUACACUAAAGUCAUAUUUUCAGAUUUUAAAAAGCACUUGAGAGAUGCUAAGUUUUGGAGUUAUUUGAAUGGAGGCAAAUACAAGUUGUACCAAACAACCCUUUUGGAAAAUAUUUAUACAUUAAAACAAGGAUCAUGCUCAUAUAAAGUUGCAAUUGAAGUAGAAACUGAGAAAAUUUGUUGCAAUUGUAAACAAUUUGAAUUCACCGGUAUCUUAUGCCCCCACGCACUACGUGUGAUGCAACAUGUAGGAAUGAACUUUAUUCCUACAAGGUACAUUUUAAAGAGGUGGACCAAAAAUGCAAAAAAAGGAAUGGAAGAUGGCAAAUUAAAACUUACUAGUUCUUGUGGAUCUUCGAAUGGUACUGCACAUUGGUAUGACUCGCUGAAUUUUAAAGUUCAACAGUUUAUUUAUGAAGGAUCAAAAAAUUUGGAGGCAUAUGAGUUGGCUUGCCAUAAGAUUGAUGCAGCUAUUUAGGAGUUAAAGUCACUUAAUUUAGCAAUGGGGAAUAGGAAAGGAACUACGAAAGAAAAACAAUGUGAUUGCCACAACAUUAUUUUAUCACAGUCUACUCAAGUAAGGACAACUAUGGAGGAAUGCAUUGUUAAAGAUCCACCUCAAUCUAAUUGCAAAGGUAAAAGAAAGCCCCAAAGAUAUAAGCCACCGGCUGAGAUGAAAGCCAAAAAGUCUAGAACUUGUGCAAAUUGCAAAAAAAGGGGACAUAAUAUUAGAACUUGUAAAGAGGUAAGCUAAAUUUUUUUACAUAUAUUAUUUACUAGCUAGUUUCAAUAAUUUUUGUUGAAACUAAUAUAAUUUUUUUAUGGUUCUAUAAUACAGGGGCUUACUGUUGCAGAUUGUCUAGAUGGUGAAUCAAGUGAAUCUUCCGGGACAAAUAGUAGAGAUGCAUCAGAGGACUAAAAUUGAGACAGAUGUUCAAUGUGAAAUUAGUUGAUGUACUAUAUGUUGUGUGUGAAAUUAAAAUGUAAUUUUCUCUCCAUUGGAUAUUUAGAGCUAUGGUCUAAAACCAAUCCGAAAUCAAAAUAUUUUGGCUCUUGUUAUGAAUUACAGUAGUACUACAAAGGGCGCUAGUUUUAGAUCAUCAUACCAAGUUGGUUGAAACUAGUUAGUGCUUGAUCAUACGAGUAAUUCGAUCGAGCUUGUCGGAGCUAGUUAAUUAUUUUGAUUUGUUUAAAUGUUGUGUUGUCUUUGUGUGUGUGUGUGUGACUCUGUGUUACUUUGUUGAUCAGAAUAUGGAGAUUUUAUGAAGAUUUGAUGUAUCUAUUUGAUCAUCUUAAAAGGCCUAGAGACUUGUUGCCGCCUAAACCACAGAAACCAUUCGAGUCCGCACAAAUAGGUUUGAAACUUUGCUAUGUCCUGAAAAUAAGCAAGUUGUGGUGAUCUGAUAGCUUAGUGUUGUUGCUAUCUCUUUUUUUUUCGGAACGUAAUUUGCUUGGUAAUACCACAUUGAUACAAAAGAAGCUGGUGCUUGUCCAUUAUUAUUUUGACAAGGCUGAUAAGAUCUAGGAGCAAAUUACAUCCAAAAGAACUCCAUCAGAUUAAAGUAUUAAAAUGAUUAAGUAUUACAUAAUGCAUAAAACAAACUAGAAGAACUUAAAUAUUACAAAGAGAAAAAUUACAAUAAUUAUGAUAAUGAACAAUUUUCUCUCAGCCUCUGUGACCCUUGUGGAGAGCUCAUCAAUUCGCGCUUUUAGAAUACCAAUUUGUUUAGUUGUUUUCAUUUCUACAUGAUUAAUAUGUUCAAACAGCCAUUCAUCUGAAUAUUUUGCCGGCGAUGCAGAACGUUGAAAAAACAUACUCCUUUCCACUUUUGAAGAGUUAGCGCUAUCUUCUUCAGAUAUAUCUUUGUCUCUCCUUAUAAUUUUAACAUCGCACCAUUGAAAAAAAUCACAAUAAUUUUUAUUUUCUUUCUUAUAAUUAGGACACCCAUAAAAUGAUCUUCCACUACUAUUAGGUUGAGAGGAAACUCGUAAAACAGCUACUUCAUUACAGUUGCAGUGAACAAUCCGCUCGUUGGUUGCGCUUCUCAUGCUAAAUGAUAAUAAUUACCUACAUGAAAAAAUAAUUUAGUUAUAAUAAAUUUAUUUUUAAGGAUGCAUACAAACAUUGAUAAAUUUUUCUUUAAAAAUCAGAAAAAAAAAAUUAGCACAAAUCUUGUUUUUUUAACAUAAUUUUUAAUUUUUAUAAAAAUCAGUAAAAAAAUAUAAAUUGUACCAAGAAUCGUGUAUUUAAAUAUUUUUUUGUAGAAAAAAUAAAAAUUAUUUAGUACCAAUCUUGUAGAAUUUUUUUAAUAAAAAUAUAAAAAAAAAUACUUAAAAAAAAGAAAAUACAAGUAUCUUGUAUUUUUUUCAAAGAUCCAUAGCUCAUGACACAUUUUUUUGUAAAUAUUCAAAAACUUAUAUUAAAAUAUAAAAUUUUAAUUCAAUGAAAAGAAAUAUUGGAAAAAAUAAAAUAAAAUUAUCAUUUUCUAUAAUUAUAAAAAAUUGCAUAUGCUCAUCAUUUUAUGUUUUAAAUAAUUUUAAAAAUUUUUAAAAAUUUAACUAAAAAAUAAUAUUUGACCAAGUUUGUCGAGGAGCCCUGUCAUUUGGAGGGCUUUGCGGAGCAGUGUCGCACGCGGCUAGGGUUGGAGCGUCCACGAGCUGCGCCGACGUGUGGGGCCGGCAGGUGGGGGCGGGGGCAAGGAGCGGGGUGAGGGAAGGAGAGCUAGAGAUGGUGGGAGAUGAGUUCCUCUGGGAGAAAUGGGAAAGAAAGAGAGAGAGAUGUCGGGGUGGAGAGAGAGAGAAAGAGAAAGAGAAAAAGAGGUUUCAGGUUGGGAUUUCGAGAGAGAGAGAGAGAAAGAGAGAGAGAGAGCGAGAGUGUGUGGUAUGAAAUGGGAUUCUCUCUCCUAUUUUAUUUCUUUGUUAACGGUGUUAAGUUGCUCCAUCCCUCCUCCUCCCAUUAAAACUCCAAAUCUGUGCACGGAUCUCAAAGACAAUCCAAUGGUUUAAAACACUAUAGUAUAGGAAUCCCUAUACUAUUGAUAGUAUAGGGACACAACUCUAUAUAUAUAUAUAUAUAUAUAUAUAUAUAUAUAGAGAGAGAGAGAGAGAGAGAGAGAGAGAGAGAGAGAGAGAGAGAGAGAGUAGAGCUUAUAUGCUUUUAAGAGCACAGGCCCAUCUGUGCUUGUGAAUUUGUGACCAUAGGAUUUUCUCGAGAUUCGUGCUCUACCAAAAGCCCACUAACAGCCGUUUGUAACUUUCCAUUUCUCUCUCUCUCGUUUUCUUUUAUUGACUGACACACUCUCUUUCUCUCUUUCUCUCUUUCUCUCUUUCUCUUUUCCCAUUACCCACAAAACCCAUUCUCCUUCAAAACUCAUCCUCCUCAAAACCCUCAAAACCCACCCUCAGAACCCAUCAAAACCCACCCUCAAAACCCAUCACCGCGUCGCCUCUACCUCAUGCGCGACGGACGCCGGCCGCCUCACCCUCGCGAGUGCCGAUCGAAGAGCGCCGCGUCGCCUCUACCUCGUGCGUGGUGGCCGCCUCCACCUCCCAAGCGCGGGCCACCUCCCCCUCGCGAGUGCCUGUUGAAGAGCGCCGCGUCGCCUCCACCUCGUGCGUGGAGGCCGCCUCCACCUGACGAGCACCAGCCGCCUCCCCCUCGCGAGUGCCGGUUGAAGACACCACCUCGCAACUGCAAGCCGCCUCCAUCGUCACAGGUAUGAUCACUAAUUUUAAUUAAUUUUUCAAAAUAAAGGUCAUGCUUGUAAGCUUCUAAAGCUUGUAUAUUUGAUUAAUAAUUUUAAUUAGAGCUUCAAAGUAUGUAGUUAAUGUUUAAUUUAAGGUAGGGGCAAAGAUUAUUAUUUUUUUCCUAUCUCAUUGUCACGCCCCGGGGUCCCUUUUUAGUUUAAAGCAUAGCGGAAAAGCGUCUGAAUUUUUUGAAAACCUGACCCCACGGUAUGCCAGAUCCGCCACAAAUACAGGAGAUCCACCGUUCACACGGACAGAGUCUCCCCUGUAUUUGCACGGCGUCGCACAAGUACAAGAGUUCAAACAUGAUACAACCACAACCAGAUGAACAUACAAAUAACCACAGUUAUAUAUAUUCAUACACCAUUCACCACAGAUUCAUAUUUUUUCAUUCAAUAUUUAAACAUAAAUUCACAUCUAUCAGUUAAAAUGUUUCCAAUUACAGAAACAAAUUUUGAAAUACUAAGAUACAAAAUCACAGAAAACCCUUUGAAAACUGUUCCCUACACGGGAACUUUUAUCUUUUAAAACGCUACCACGAGGGGUAGAAAACCAUUUUUAUUUCAAGAAAACACAAAUCCUUUAUUACAUUCCAAAACUAACUGAAAACUCAGAUAUUCAGAUAAUAACACAAAACUGAACCAUGUAAACCGACUAAGCUAUAUAUAUCCACAGAAAUAAAAAGGGUAAUAGCUAAAUCGAAAUAACCUGGGUCGGAAGCUCUAUCGACCGCUACACACGUACCUCACGUCUCGUCCCACUAAACAUCGCCCGCGAUACCUGAAAAAUGGUGGGGGAGGUGAGAACAUGUCGCUUCCCUCCAUUGGUACCGCAAGCCGACGAGGGCGAGGAAGUACUCACGGAUCAGGAAGAUAAACAAUAGUAUAUGGGUAAGUGAAAUACAGUAGCAACGAUAAUGACGAAUGAGAUAAUAGAUAUGAGAGAACAAUACCGCUACUGUAAAUAGAACGAAAAGCAUACAUACAGGGAUAAUCAAAACACAUAGUAGGCAAGACAAUGUAAAGAAGGAAUAAAGUAUACAUGCAACACCGCUACUAUAACUAUAUGCGUCAACCGCGGACAAGUAGUCCAAAGUACUCCAAUCUAAACCGCCGUGUCGGUCUAAGGACCUCAGGCAAAAGCCACUACUGCUCACACCUGGCUGUAACCCUAUAGCACAGAGAAACAGGCAGACUACUGGGCUCAACGGUCGAUGUACAGACCACUUUUCCGAAAAAGAACACCUCUCCUGCGGGGAUCAACUCGCUGGUGUACGUGAAAUGCACUCCGAGCUGUGGCGAUCAAUGCAGAUAUGAAUCAAUAGCCAACCGUCGGCAAUCAGCCGAUAAUCACCGCCCCUCGGGCUAACCGAUCCGUAUAGUCAUCAAGUAACAACGUGAACCGACCAAAUAGGUCAAUAUACGGAAAGUAACGAACGACCAAACAGGUCACCGAUGCAAACAGGAGAACCGACCAACCAGGUCACAAGUAUAAGUAUAUACGAAUGCCAUCUACUCUACCCUAUACAGGAUACUACAUAUAGAACAACCAGGCAAGUAAAUAAAGAUAGUAUGUAGAUACUGCUCGAUGUCAACUAAAAGUACGAACGCAAGAACCGACCAGAUAGGUCACAGGAGUGUAUUCGAUAUAGUCCAGAACUACCGUCAGCACCAGCCGACAAUCCUACCCCUCAGGUAUACCGACCUCAAAGUCAUCGAACGACAGAAGUCAGAAACAGACACACCCAAUACAUAAUCAACAACCGACCAACCAGGUCAACAAGAUAUAAAUAAGCACCGAUCAACUAGGUCCACCGAAACGAAGUACGAGAACCGACCAAUCAGGUCACCGAAACGAAGUACGAGAACCGACCAAUCAGGUCACCGAAAUAAAGUACAGACAACCGACCAAUCAGUCACCGGUAUACAUAUGGAUAAACUGCUCUAACUCCUACACAUGAACUAAGCAUAGAAACAUAUAGUAAAGUAAUAAUUAGAACAACAACGGGGAUGCAAGCUCAAUAUAUAAUGCGAUAGUAAACAACAGAAGAGUAAGGGUAAGAAACCAUCGCCAAGCGUGCACCACUGUUAACCGACUCGAUCGAAGUACCCACCUGUAUAAAGCUGAAACGGUCUCGCGAAGGCGUAAGACGAAGCGACCGACCCUACGAAGGGUCCACCGGUUAGAGUCUAACCCACAAACACAAUAACACGACCAUUCUCACACAAAUCCAAAAUCAUAACCCCUCGAAAUCGGUUUCUCAAAACGCAACCACCGAACCAGCGGAAGUCCCGGAAAACCGUACGAAACUCCACGUCGCUCACGGCGUCACCGUCGUUUCCGAGCCCUCGAGAAGACACGUGACCAGGCCCAACAUGGCUCAGCGACACUACAAUCAACCACGAGGCACCCCGUCGGAUGAAUUCCGAACCGAAACAGCGUUCUACUCGCAAAUUUCGCCGAAAAACGCGCUCGGAAAUCCACUUUUCGAUUUCCGCAAGGGCUUGGGCCUUGGACGAUCAGUCCAGAGGUUACCCUCAGCAUUUACACGCUAUCCACAGGACCGAUCGAAAGUUAUUCGCAAGAAAGCACAUCAUGGAACACUUAAAUCAUUUUAUGCGAUUUCCGACAGUUUUAUGCCAAGUUUGCGAUACGAGUUCGCGCGACCGCCGCACUGCUGAUAGGUUUCAGCGUGCCGGAGACCGUGCUCCACCAUUCGGAGCACAUUCGCGACUGCGGUGCGCGCACAGCGACGCGAAGGUUUUAAACUGCGCGCACCGCGCGAAGUAUCGCGACUAAUUCACUAACCAGGGGCAUCUUUGCCGCUGUGGGAGGUGAGCACGAUGUUCAACACGAACCCUAGAUCAUCGUGCCUCACUUCCAAAAUUCAGGAGCUUAUCGGAAUCACCGAAAGGUGACCGGAAACUCGAAAAACAAGUGCUGGAACAUAAAUGGACACUCACAGUGAUGGGGGGAACUAGGGGUUGGCCGCCGGCGAUAUUCCGCGCGGGCGGUCCGCCGGGGAUGGGUGCACCAGAUGGCGGGGCUCCGGGGCACUCCACGUCAGGCGCGCAGGCGGCCGGAGGUGCGGCGGCGGCGUACGGACCGCCACUCCCUUGCGUUUGGUGCUUUCCAACAGUUGCCAGCGGCGACGCGGCGGCCGGGGCUGUCGGGCCGGUCGGGGAUGACGGCGGGGUCGAAGCGGUGCCGAGCUUGCGUCGGCGGCGGCCGGGCGAUGCCCGGAGUGAAGGCGGCCCGCGCUCGCCGUACAGCACAAGGCGGCGGCAGGGGCCCUGCGGCGGCCGCGGCGCUCAGGGUGGCCGGGUCGGGUGUGGUGGUCGCGGACGGUCGGCGGAGACCUCCGCGGCGUCGAGAAGCGGCGGUAGGACUUGGGGGGCGGCGCGGCUCCAAGGUUGGCCCGGCUCAGAGUCUGGGCUGACGCCGGGUGGCCGCACGCUCCCUCAGGUGGCUGCCGCGUGUCGGGGAAUGGCCGGCAGCGUGGGAACAAGUGCUGGAGGUGCACACGGCCAGGGCUUCCCUGUCGCAGAGGUGGCGGAUUGCCCGAUCCUUGCUCAUCGGCAGGAGGAGGAAAGGAGUGGACGAGAGGGUGGACGCGGACGUUGCAGGAGGGUUUCCGGUGGCCGAGCACGCACUGCCGCGGCCGGCGGCGCGCGCACAGAAGACAGGGGCAGGGCCUCACGCUGGGGCGGCUAGGGUGCUCUAGGUCAGCUGGGGGCGGAUUAGGGUUAGGGUUUCACCUCGAAACCCUAGAUCUUCCUAUAUGUAGGUAGAGUAAACUUUGCGGAAAAACCCCCGAAGUUGAUCAAUUUCGACCCAACUCCCUACCAGUUGGUGCACCUUGCACGACAGUCCCUCCGAGUUCGAAAACUCGCAAAACGGCGCAUAAAAUAAUGGGCUUCUUCGCGAUUUAUUCGUUUUGUCAAAUCAGCCCCUUCGCGGACUUUUCGCGAUUCCCGAAGAUCCGUCCGUCGGAUUUCCGAACGGAUUGCGCUAGCGCGAUAAGCACGACUGGGGCAUCGAAUCUAGCAUUUCGUUUCGCCCGAAAAGGUUUCCGAUUUGCGACAAAACCAUCCCUCCAAGGUUCCACCAAAACUCGCAUAUAGACGACUAUAUGCUAAAACCAUUAAACCCCUUUUUCUCGAAAUCUGUGCAUCCAAAUCCAAUUCCGUCAGUGCCAUUGGUUCCAAAACAGCUGAACCGGUCGAAACGAGCUAUUGGACUGAUAUGAACGGAGUCCGAUACGUGCCAGAAGCCAACUCUACUCCGUGGCUUCUCCGGAAAACCGGAGUUACUAUUCACUUAAGUGAAAACUAAAAGUCGCGUAUCUUCUCCAUUUUAGCUCAUUUUCGCCCAAAAUUUGACGAGUACUUAUGUAAUUAAAUUACACACAUAAAUAUCAUCAACAGAGAGUUUAGUAGCACUGUCAAAAAAAUCUCAGUCCUUACACUCAUUUACAUACGUUUUUAAAAUUUUGUUUAAACAAAAUUUGGGCAUACAAGAGUUCUUGUCAACAAAAGAGGAGAGAGAGAAAAAGUGUAAUAAAAGUUUAUAUUUAAUUAUAUUUGGACCUUUGGAUACAGUUAGUUAAUUAAAUUUUUUUUGAGGUUUUUGAAGUUUUUUUUUUUAUUUGAUUAGUAAUUUUAAUUAUUGCUUCAAAGUAUGUAGUCAAUGUAAAAUUUGUUAUUCUGCUCUCAUAUAUAUCAAAGUAUAAGCAAAUUACAUACAAGUUACACUUUUUUAUUAUCUUAGCAACUUAGAGAACAUUUAUUUGAUUUUUUCUAUAGGGGUUAGUUAAAAGAUGGAACAUGGCUCUAUAAUUGGAUCAUCAGUUUCUUUAUGUAAUUUUGAUGUUGGAAAUGACACGAAUGAGGAAGUUGAAGAAGUGGCUGCUAAUGAACAAAUAUGUAUGAGCAAACAUUCUAUCGAUGAGCCACGUGUUGGUUUAGAGUUCGACUGUAUGGAGGCCGCUAAAAAGUUCUAUAAUGAUUAUGCUUUUAAAAUGGAAUUUAGUAUAAGAAAAUCAAGCCAUUAUAAGGCAAGAAAACAAGAUGAUGCCAUGACAUCUAUAACAUAUUGUUGUUCGAAAGCAGGUUAUUCUAAAUCUGCAACUAACGAGAAAGGUCAACACCAAAAUUGGGAACAAAGUAUGAAACUGCUUGUCAGAUAAUUAGACCAAGAAUUGAUGCUCUAAUAUCAGUUAAUCAGACUCUCGAGAAUGAAGUAGAGACAAUCAAGGAGCCUUCGAAUGAUCUUCAUAGGAUUGUGAUUUCACAAUCAAGUCGAGUAAAGCAGUUUACAUCAGAUAAUAUGAUUAAAGAUCCCCCUCACUUGCAAUGCAAAGGAAGAAGAAAACCGCAAAGACUAAAGCUACAAAUUGAAAAAAAAGCUAAGAUACCGAGAACUUGCAAGGCAUGUGGUAAAAAAGGUCAUAAUAUCAGGACCUGUAAGGAGGUGAGAUAAAUUACAUAUUUUUUUAAGAUACAGUUCUAAUUUUUUUUUAAAGUUUCUUCUAAAAUUUUUACCUUUCCUAUUAUCACAUAAUGCUAAUAAAUAUAUUAUUUUGCAGAAUGUUGAUGAAGCGCCAUCUAACGAGCAAAGUUUUAGUGAGAGCCUUGAAGAAACAAAUGAAGAAGAAUAUUGAGAGUUAUGUCGAAGGAUUUGUUUGAUUGAAUGAGACUUUAUUAUGUUAUAUGCCUUUUCUUUUGACUUUAUUAUGCUAUAUGUAGGUUAUUUUGGAUAUGUUGGACUUUAUUAUGCUAUAUGCAGUUUUUUGUUUGUGUUGUAAAAUAUUUUGUUGGACCUUAUUAUGUGCAGCUUGCAGAUGUUUAUUAGUGUUUUAAACUUUGUUGGAUUGUUGUGUUGGACUUUAUUAUGAAGAAGAGUUUUGAACUAUUAUGUUUUAUGUGCUUGUUCCACUUUGUUACAAAAGGGGUUGCCUACUGUUUUAAAAAAAGCUUGUCAACUGGUUUUGUGUUCCACUCCAAGCUUGUCAACUGGUUUAUAGUAUCAGCUCCAGAUUUUGUGCAUUCUCUCGUAUAUAAAUCCACUGGUUUAUUGUAUUUCACUAAUUAUUUGUCAUUCACAGCAGCAAAUUUGGUUGUAAGUAGUUGCUAAAGCUAAAUUGGAUAGAAAAACACAAACAAAUACAAUAACCAGAUUUACAUAUAUCUUGCUAUUGUGUCUUAAUAUCUAGCAGCAGCAGUGAAGAUGGCAGUGGAUUUGAUUGUGAUGAUCCAUUAACAAAAUGCAGAAAACUAAAGGAUGCCUUAGUGCUUUGAAUAUCAAAUCGAGAAAAACUCUGCAUAUGGUUAUGUAAGAUAGAACUAUUAGAUAUUGUCAAACAAAUUAUAUAAUUCCAUUCAAAGCAUGCUCAAUUAGUCAUGCCUAAGUUGCGAGCUCGUAGCAAUCAAACUCAAACACAUUUAAAUUCAAAAAUACAUUCUCAUGCAAAAUGUGUAUAUUUUUAUCAAACUUCACCUACACUAGAAUUUUAUUAGCAAAACAAUUAAACCCAUGCCACUUCACAUCCUGUUCCCUGCAUUACACUCCACUCUAUGAUACUAGCAUGUAAAAUAAGCAAUAUAACGUCAAUUUAGGUGAAUAGAAAUAAAUAUCCAUGCAAUGAUUAAUAUACUGUUGUUUCACAUGGUUAAAGCAUCCACUAUAAUACACAGAUUUAGGUGAAUAAAAAUUUAAUACAUAAAAUUGCUAAAAUAAAUACAAUGAAGAUCUUUCUUUCAGCUUCGAUUCUUUCCACCAUUGUCGUCGUCCUCGUAGAAACUUCUUCAACUUUAAUUUUCAAAUUCUCUAUUUGCUCAGCCAAAUUAGAUAGAUUAUAACUUAUGCAUCGAAGCAUUUUUUCAUCCGAAAUUUUUUGCGCAGAAGUUGCUAUUUCGGGGGCUAGACUUUCCUUUGAGUUCAAAAGAUUUGAACAUGACUCCAAAUAUUCUUUAGAUUUCACUAAUUGUUUAUCGCACCACAUGAAAAAGUCACAGUAUUUAUCAUUAUUUUUUUCAUAAUUUCGACAGUCGUAAAAUUGUCUUCCUUUACUUCUAGGUUGCUGUGAAGUUCGUAUUAUAGCUAUUUGGUUGCAUUUGCACCAAAUUGUCCUAUCUUCACGAAAACUUGCUGAAGAGGCCAUCAAUAAUCCUGUCAAAAUUGUGAAGAGAUAUUGCCAUCAACUUAAUAAUAUGCAUAAAAAUUGGAGAAAAAGAACUUCAAAAAUCUCUAAAACAACUUAAUUAACUAUCUGUAUCCAAACAAACAAUAUAAAUAUAAACUUUUUUCUCUCCUCUUUUGUUGGCAGGAAUCCCUAUAUGCCCAACUUUGCUAAAACUUUAGAACAAAAUUAUUAGAUAGAACAUACACUUUGCUUAAACAAAAUUUAAAAACGUAUGUAUAUGAGAUAGGAAAAAAAUAUAUAUCUCUGUCCCUACCACAAAUUUUAUAUUGACUACAUCCAAACAAACAAACAAAACAAACAAGAUAUUGCCAUCAACUUAAUAAUCUCUAAAAAAAACUUAAUUAACUAACUGUAUCCAAACAAACAAAAAUAAAAAUAAAAUUGUAUUAUAUUUUUUCUCUCUCUCCUCUGACAGAAUCUUUGUAUGCCCAAAUUUUGCUUAAACAAAAUUAAAGAAACAUAUGUAUAUGAGAUAGGGAAAAAGAAAAAAAUUAGUGAUCAUACCUGUGAUGGUGGAGGCGGAUUACGCUCGUGAGGUGGAGUCUUUGACCGGCACUCGUGAGGGGGAAGCGGCCAGUGCUUGUGAGGCGGAGGUGGCCUCCGUGCACGAGGUGGAGGGGACGCAGCGUUCUUCGACCGGCACUCACGAGAGGGGGUGGCCGGCGCUUGCGAUGUGGAGGUAGCCGUCGGGAACGUGGUGGAGGCGAUGCGGCACUAGGGAGGUUGGCCUGGUGGGUUUUGGGGGGAUGGGUUUGAGGGUAAUGGGUUUGGAGAAGAGAGAGAGAGAGAGAGAGAGAGAGAGAGAGAGAGAGAGAGAGAGAGAGGGUGUGUGUGUCAGUGAACAAAGAAAAUGUGUGAGAGAAAGAAACGAAAAAGUUACAAACGGCUGUUAGUAGGCUUUUGGUAGAGCAUGAAUCUCAAGGAAAUCCUAUGGUCACAAAUUCACAAGCACAGAUGGGCCUGUGCUCUUAAAAGCAUAUAAGCUCUACUAUAUAUAUGUAUAUAUAUAUAUAUAUAUAUAUAUAUAUAUAUAUAUAUAUAUAUAUAUAUAUAUAUAUAUAUAUAUAUAUAUUCGCGCACAUUCAAACAGUAGAUAUUGAUCUUGAUAUUCGCAGAUUAUUUNGAUAGCAUAGUAGCUCUACUAUAUAUAUAUAUAUAUUCGAGCUUUUCGAGCUUGUCGAGCCUAAUUCGAACGAGCCGAGUAAUACUCAAGCUCGGCUUGAAAUGAAUUUCGAGCUUUUCUUUUUGUUCAAGCUCGGCUCAUUUAAUUUCGAGUCGAGCUCGAGCGAGCCAAAUAUCGAGUCGAACGCGAGUCGAACGCGAGCCGGCUCGCUCAUUUGCCAGCCCUAGCUGUUGACCUAUCUAAGUCCGACCCAUACAUCCUAGUGGCUACUACCACUAUAAUCCACAACCUAGAUUCAACACUCUAGGUUCACUACACAUCAUAACCUAGGUUCCAACACUCUAGGUCCUAUGUCAUUUUCACCUAGAUCUUGACUCUAGGUCCGCUUGUUCAACCUAUGUUCAUGACCCCAGGUUCAUGUCCAACCUAUGUUUAAUAACACUAGGUUUAAUGCCACUCGAUCUACUUGACAUCCUAGUUGUCCAUAUCGAGUAUUCAUAAGCCUCAUGUUCCUAUUUCCAAUGUUGAAUUCUCUAUUCACCCUAGAGUUAUCGACCUGUGAUUAACUCAUAUAAAUCAAGUAUAAUAUACAACUUGUCAACAUGCAUGUUAUCUAGCAUUCCCUACAACGUGUCAUUAUGCAUUACAACUAGCAUAUUCUCAUAAUAUUAACAUUCAUAUGCCAUUUAUCUCAUACUUUCAACUAGCAUCAUUCAUACUAUGUCAACAUGCAUUCUUUGGUAGCCUAACAUAGCAUUUAACUCAUGCAUUCAUAUGUUUUACCACUAGCUACCAUUAUAUGCAUCAAUAGUAAAUCUCACAUCAUUUCGUCAUGGAAGUGAGCUAAACAUUUUGGUGAGCACAACCCACCUCAAAUCGCUUUCUGAUUGCUUAUAGUCACUUGCAAUCGGCCUCUCACGGUAUUCGUUGUCCGGUUUGGCCCGAUCUUGCAAUUGAUCACCAACUGUGCGUCAAUUUGCGGCCUCAGGUUUUAAGGGUCUAUAACUUGAUGCCGCGAUGCUCGGGAUCCGUUUUCGUGAUUUUUCGACGUCGCCUCGGCCCUCCAGGCGGAAACGAAGCCAAAACGUCCUUUUCUUCAAUAUCUUCGUGUAGGCUCGACGAAUCGCCGAACCGACUUUGCCAACUUAUCAGAAUACCUAGCAAUUAGGUUUCUAUAGGGUCAAUUUAGAUCAAACUCUAACACAUAGCAAAAUCCCAACUUGAAACCCUAGCUCUAGCAUCAUCUCUAAAUAACCCAAAUCUCAUGAUGAAAAUAUGCUAGAAACACUCUAGAGGCUAUAAGAACAUUAAUCAUGAAGGAUUUAAUCAAAUCCUAAACACUUACCAAUUUGCGAACGCCGAGACGAAAGCACCCCGCUCAAAUGAGCGCACGAGAGCCCGAACCGACGCCUCCCACGCGUUAACAAGCUCCUUCUCCUUCAAGCCUUUGAAUUGGGAGAUGGAUCUAGAGAGAUGGAGGAGUAUUCUAGAGAGAGAAGAGAGCUUUUCUCUCUACCUCUCCAAUGGUGUGUGUGUGUGUAGGCUGUAGGAGGAAGAAGAAGGGGUCAAAACCCCUUUACAAAUCAACUUCCCCUUAAUUACAAGACUGCCAUCAGCCCAAACUGGGCAUUUUCAGGUCUCGGGGACCGGUCCUUGGCUUGAGCGACCGGACCCCAUAGGUCUAGAAAAUCAGCAUUUUUAGACUUAGCCAAAAUUUCAACCUUUUUACCAAUUUUGGUCCGUUUUCGCUCGUUUUCGCUCCUAAGGCCUCCGAUUCAUCUCUAAUUGUACCGAGACCCCCAAUACAUAUAUUCGAGCACGUUUAAACUAUUUUUUUAUUCACGCCUUGCCGUAUUUCGGCCAAGGUCCAAUCAUUGCUUUUCGGGUUCCGUUUUCGCGCCCGACGCGUACCGAAAACACCCGAAUGCUCCCAAACCUCACCGGAACCAUUCUAACGGCUCUCCAAAUCAACAUACACCAUAACUUCAUAAUUAUAGAAGUUCGGUACCUUACAAAUUAUCUUACACGUCAUGACUCUCGGUACUUGAAAUGGCAGACGACAAAAGUAAGCGCAAUACGUAAUAAGAAAUCUACUUCAAGGUUAACAAUAAGUUUUAGAUUUGAAACCACAACGGUCAUAAUUUAAAGCAUCUCCACUUCAUCGCUCUGACCACGAGAGCUACAAUUACGCCUCGUUCCUCCUCGAAAACUGCGUAUAGGAUGAAUCCCUCUCCUCCGAGGAAUCCGACCGCAAAAGUCAUAAAGAACAAUAAAUCCUGAUAAUAAUAAUGUGUAAAAUAAAUAAAUCAUGCCAGUCAAUGAUAACUAUAAAAUCUACUCGGAAGUAUCAACAACUAGUAAACAAAAUAGAUAACAAUCGUGUUCCGAACCCACUCGGAUCUGCAUAUUUUUUACCGUUUGCAGAAAAGUAGCUAUUUACUUGCCUCUAUUAGUGCUUACAAAUUCGUCACAUUUUAAGAUUGAGGUUUUACAGCGGUUUCAGCACCUACAACGACGAAAAGACCCAAAUAAAAUAUAUUUUCAAACAAGCCCUUUAACUAUUAAAAAUUCUACGAAAAUUAUAUAGUAAAUCAGGAUAAUUAGAUCACACGAUCUUAUCCAUAAUUUCAAGACGAGUCCUAUAGCGCUUGAAUCGCAAAAUUCCGCCUUAAGGACAAAAAGUUAUGUAUCUUUUACGGAUCAGUCCCUAAAACCAAAACUGCUAUUUAUAGAUUGGUCCCUGGCUGAUAUUUUAAGCCAUUAUAGGCACCAAAAUUUCACCGCAUCCGGUCCAACAUCAGCAGCGUGCGCCAAAAGCUUUUCCAGUUAAUUAUAAUUCAAUCGAUAGAGGCAAAACACUCUAAUCAAUAACUUAAUCACGUCUAAUAUCGUUAUGAUAAAUUGAAACCUAAACGUAAAAAUAAACCAUGCAAAAAUUAACGUGGUCCACCGUAAACCGGAUCUAGCCAGAUCCAAAAUAAUUCCAUCUUCUUUCUUCUCCUUCCCAACUCAAUUAAAAAAGUUCUCUCAUACUCCUCUUAUGGCCAACCAUGUUCACCCCAUACGGGGUUCACCCGAAUCCGACUGUAGGAGGCCGGCGACCACUCCGGCGACGGUGGUGGCGGUACAAUAAGAAGAGAGGAUAAGAUGGGGAGGUAGAAGAAGAAAGAAAAGAGAGAGAAAAAAAAAACUAGAGAACUAAUUAUUGGAGACUCACCUCGCUCUCGCUCUUUUUUUCUCUCCUCCACGAUCGUCGGAUCCUGCUCCCGCCGGUGGCCACGCUUGGACAAAGAAUCCGGCUACAAUAUUUAUUAUUAUUAUUAUUUUGGUCGUACUCCCUCCCUAAAUUACCUAUUUAUAGGUGAUUAAUUAUGGCUAAAUCUCAAUCAUACUCUAACUAGUAUUAGAGUAUAAUUAAUCUGAAAAUCAAAUCCAAUCAAAUCCGCUUAAUCCGACGAUACAAAUAAAUCAAAAAAAAUAUUAAUGACAGGUUUAUCACAAAACUACAAUCAUACCUGCAUAUUUAAAUUUUAAUUGGAUACGAGUAUUACAAAUACUAUCGAUCCGUAGCGAAGCGUGAACCUAAACUAGUUGCAAUAAAUUUAUUAUAUUAUUCAUUUUUAGACUUUUCAAAUCUCAAAGAUGUACAAUAGAGUUGUUUAAAUCCUAAACGCUUAUAAAGAAAAUUUUUCUAACUAGUUGCUGUCUAAAUACGUUUCAAUUUUUAGGUUUUUUUUUUAAUAAUUGAAUAAAGCUGAAUUGGAUGCUAAACCAAAUAAUUUUGGUUUGCUUUAGUUUAUUUGAUUUUAAUAAUAUAAUUUUUUUUAAAAUUAAAUUAGAACUUAUAAGUAUGGUACAUUUUAUUUUAUUACUCUAUUCAAAAAUAAUAAUAGCUAAUAAUCUAAUUUUUUAAUUCAGCUUAUUUGAUUUUUUUUUUAUUUUACUUUUUAAAAUUGAACCGUAUCGAUCGGAAAAUAAUUCAGGUUCAAGCGAUGAGCAUAGUUAGUUAAUUCACGAAUUAUUCGCGAAUUUUUAAAAAGCCGAAUAAAACAGCCGUUUUUGUAUUUUUUUAAAAAAUUCGAAAAAAGUCGUAUUUUUUUUGGGUAAAAGUAAUUAUUCGCGAAUUAAACGGUUCACGAAUAAUUCGGCCCAAAAGAACGGCGUGGUUGCUGGCUUGCUGUGACGCGGACUCGUGGGCCUCGCGGGUGGCAAAAAAAAAAAAAAAAAAANUAGUGAACGUAUAAUAUCCAUAUAAAUCACGUAUCCGAAUAAUUGGCGAAUCCGUUUUUUAGCCAUUUUUUUCAACGAAUUUAAAAAUUAGUAGGCGAAUUUUAUCCGAAUUAUACCCGUACCGAAUUUUUGCCGAAUCCGAAUUAACUAACUAUGGGACGAGUU
rnacentral:lncRNA from 1 species